UUUAACUAGUGUUGUACCCAUUCGUUGAAUACAAAUUGCCUAAAAAUAAUAAAUUAUUUAGUGUAGUUCACAAAAAUAUUUGCAUAAAAUACAAACUUAUUGUAUAAUCUAUUAUAGCCUUUCUUAAAUACAUUGUUAUUCAAAAAUAAUCUUAUAAUGUAAAUUUAAACAUCUAAUUCAGUGAUUAAUAAAUUCAAAAAAUGCAAAAAAAAAAUUGACAAUAGAUGACAUUCAAAAACUUGAAAAUAGGGAAGAUCAAAUUUUGGCUGAUCUUCUGUAAAUAAAAGAAUGGCCAACCCGUUACCAAAACAUCAAUUUUGGUACUUAAUAUAAAUGGCUUAAAGGUUAAUGUGAAAAGAAAAGAAGCCGAAUGAAAUAUUAAUAAAAGAUAAGAAUUCAGAAUCAAUCAAGUAAUAGGAACACAGCAACCUUCUAAAUCUGUUCAUGGCUAAUAGAAACCAAAAUGAAAACAUAAGAUGUAUUUUGCUAUUAAAUCAAAAAACAUAAAAAAAUCUAAAUAGUCUGAUGUAUAUUGCAUGACGUGAACUGCUGUAUGAGAAUGAAUUUGAUGUCUUGCCAUUUAUGUAAUCAGUGAUACUUUCUUGUUCUUUAGAAACUUUCUACCAAAGUCUAAAAGAAAACAUUGAAAACUGCACAAAAUUUUUUUAACCCCAGAAACCUAGAAAAUAAAAAAAAAUUAAUAUGUUGUUGAAGAUAAUUAAUAAAUUGUCAAAGGCAAUUAAAAAAUCGUGUGAAAACACAUAGUUCAAAAGGCUACUUUUAAAUCACUAACCAAAAAAACAAUAUGUAUUCUACUUGAAUUGAAGAGUGAAUCCAUAAAUUGAAAUAACAAAUUAAUUACAAAAACCUUACCAGAAAUAAAAACCAAACUGUAACUUUUGAAGACUUAGAAAAUUCAAAUUCAAUGACCUAACUAUGAAGAAGGUAUAGGAAAUUACAGAUCACAUAUAGCGAGUAUAAACAACGUCCAAAUGCGGUCCUUGCAUUGAAGGGAAUAAAAACGAAGUUUCAAAUCCGGUCCUUGCAUUGAAGUAAAAAAAAAACUUUCCAAAAAUAUUGUGGAAAAGUGUAAAUAUUUGCACUGCUUGAUAAAGUGAUGAGUAAUAGAUCGAUAACCAUAUAUAUGAAUAAAAAUGUAGAGCAUCUUCGAUAGCGAUAAUCUGAUAAAGAUAAUCUAAUAUUUGAAUUGAUAUUUCAAACUUUUGAGUUGAAUAUAAGAGAGAGUUAAAAACAUAAUUCAAAAUUAUUUAUACUAAUCCCCAUGAAAUUUAGGCUUGACGAUUAAGGUUAAGGAAAAAAAAGGUGAGAGAAUGAAAGAAAUAAUUAUGAAAGGAUUAUCUAGAAUUGUAAAGUUAAGAGAAAAAAGAGGGAUAGAAUAGUGUGGGUUAUUAGGGGAUUAACUCAUAGAGUGUGUUACACCUACUUGCUAUGUCAAUACGGUUACCCGCCCGCGGGGGGUUAGUGGGGAGGGGGUUGGGCCUAGGGGUGGGGCUGGGGCAGGUGAAAUAUUUCCCCCCCCACUUAGAAACGGGGCGGGGGGCAGGGGAGUGUUACCCCCACCCCAUCUCCCGCCCCGCCACCCGCUUUAAAAAAAUAAAUAUAUAAAAAAUAUAUAAAUAUAAUUAUAUAUAUAAUAUAUAAUUUAAUUAGUUAUAAACUUAUGAUAAUUAUAUUAUUAGUUAUAUGUAUUAUAUAAAUGUCUAUUAGUAUAUAUAAUAUAAUUGAUAUUAUUAAUUAUACUAAUAAUUAUACAUGUGUACUAAUACAAAUUAUUAAUUGGUUAUAUUAAAUUUAAUAAUACAUUUAUACUAAAUCUCUAAUUACACUUAAUACAAUAAUAUUUUUUUCUUAAAAAGGCACAAGCACAAUAAUGAAUUAGUGAUUGUAUUUGUGCCAAAAGUGAAAAUUUGACUACUUUAGUUAUAUUUAUUUCAUCAUGUUGGAUUGUAUGCAAAUAUUUUUCGUUCGAUUGUUUUUGUAAGAUUCAAUUGUAAAAUUAUAAUGAAUAAUAAUUUGAUGAUGUGUUAAUAUUUUAGUACUUGAUUAUUUGCUAAAAUUUAACUAUAAUAAAAUUAUAUAACAAAUUUUUAUUAACUCCGUGGGGAAAGUGGGGCCGGGGGAGCGGGGGACGGGGGAUGGGGCGAGGGCGGGGGGAGUUUGUAGGCAGCGGGGCGGGGGAUGGGAGAGGGGUCUCCCGCCCCAUUGCCAUCCCUAUAUGUCAGUAAGCCACGUAGGAAAGAGGUAAACUAUAAGGAUAAGGAUAAGAAUACGACUUUAUUAUAUAUAUAUAUAUAUAUAUAUGAUUGGAAUUUUAUUUUUUCCAUAAAUUUCAUGCUAUGCACUAUGUCUUAAUAACGCACUUAAUAAUAAAAUUUAUUAAGAAUCCUAUUAGGAAACUACUUGUCGUCUCGUUAAGCCACGUAGAAAAGAGAAAACAUGAAAGGAUAAGAAUAAGGAUACGACUUUAUUAUAUAUAUAUAUAUAUAUGAUAAGUAUAAUUAACCCUUUUUUAUUUUUUAAACUACAAUGUUACCUAUAGCCUUUAAAUUUUUUAAGUGCAGUCCUUUAGGACUAAAUUUAAACUCAUGAAAUAUGUAUGUAAAGUUGUAAGUCACCAAUUUAUAGGGAAUUUUUUUAUAUACUAUUUUAACUAUAUAUCAUUACCAGAUAUUUAUGAUGUAUUUAUGAUAUCAUCCGAUUCGAUUCCUGAUUAAAUCCUGUCGAACUCAUUGACCCUUGACCCCUGAGUUCGGUCGAGUUGAUACUCGGUUCGAAUAUGAAAAUAUAGUCAAAUUGGUGCUACAAUUUGACUCCGAUGCCAUACCAACUAAUCUCUUAAUAUUCUUUACCUUAAUCGUGAAAGUAUAAUUGUGCAGGAGUUCAUUUCUCAACUUUUCCACAUCAAAAUGAUCCAAAAUUAAUUAUUGAAUAAUGUUUAAUUCAGUUCUAUUUUUUUUAAGCUACUCUCCACCUACCUACCAUUUUGAAUAUCAUCUUUGUCUCUCACUUCCUUUCUCCUUAAGGUCCAAAGAAAAAGCUCUCGAAACCUUAAACUUAUACAUAAGAGGAUUAUAUAAGAUUUUCAAAACUCGUAGGCAUUGUUUGCAAAUAUGUUCAAUAUAAAGAAUUGCUUUUGAAAAAUAUUUUUCCAAUAAUAAGAUUAGGGGUUAGGCUAACAUAGGCAGUAAGCAUGUAUACCUGUACAUAAAGCAUACUGUUUAAUAAAUUUGUUAUGAAAAAAAUAUAAAUAGGAAGAACAAACUGUUGAUUAAGAAAUUUGUUUAUUGAUGAUAUGAAUAUAUAGACAAAUACUACCAAAUCUAAUUUGUAAUAUGUAUAACAUAUAAACAUCCAUAUGUAAAAAAUAGAAACAUUCAUAUACAACAAUAAACAAAGUUAGUAGUAAGGCAUUGUUAUUUUACUGGAAGCAUAUUUUAUUUCAAGACUAUUAGAGAAUUCCAAAAAUACCUAAUUAUCACUUUAUAAGGGCAAAAAGGUUCAAAUUUGACUUUGGACAAACAUUCUGGGUCUUUUUUUUUUUUUUUUAAACAACGAAGGUUCUCAGUUGACUUUUUUAGUUUCUCCUAAGACAAAUCUUCUUUAUUAAGGUGAUUGAAUUUUUUAUUUUAUUUUGGAUGAACUUCUUUUGCCUAUUUGGAUAAAAGAGUUAUUUUCUCUCUAGCUAAACUCUUAAUUCAUCUAAUAGUUAUUUAUUAGAGGCAAUAUAUCAAAUUAUUUUAAAUUCAAUAACAUUAAAAACUUAAAUUUGAAAUAAAUUGUGUUGGGGAAUUCUUUUGGUAUUAAUAAACUGAAUGCCAUUCAAUAAAAGGUACAAUUCAAGAAUAAUGAAAACAUAUAAAUUCAAAUAGUAUUAACACAAAAGUGCAUCGAUCAAAAUUUGUAUCCAUGAAUAUAGUACAAAUAAAAGAGAAAUUUAGAACAUAGAGAUACAAAAAACUAAUUAACAUAGGACAUAAUCCAUAGGCAGAUAUAAGCAAGUGAGAUAUAAAAUGCAAAGCAACAAAAGUUGCAAAAAAGGAACAUUUCAAAAACAAAAAGAAAAAAGAAAUACAAAUUAAGAGGCUUAUUGAAAGUGUCAUAAAUGAUGAUCUAAAUAAGCAAAGAGAGAUAUUAUUUGUACUCUUUUGCUUGUUAGUAACAAUCCUUAUAGCUUUUCUAACUCACAUGAAAGGAUAAAAAUGCCUAUAAUUUUCAUUAUAAGUUUAAUGAAUUUAUAGGGGUAUUUUUUUUUUAUUGAAUUUACAUAGUUAAAAUGUCAAAGAAUCCCCAUACAAAAAAUACCUAUAAAUCAUGAUAUCCCUAAACAAUAGACACAGAUAUGAGAAUUUCUAAAAUCAAGGAGGUGAGACAUCUUUUUAUUUGUUUUAGUUGCUUAAAUCCUAUGUUGUUUAGUAUAGAAUAUUUCAGUGUCAAAAGAAGUGCCAUUAACAAUUCCUUAAAGCAAAUAAGAUAUGUAAUUAAAAUGUCAAAAGAAGUGCCACUAACAUUUGCUUAAACAAAUAAUGACAUAUGCUUUGUUAGGAAAGAACUCUUGCGACAAAAUAUCAAAAUGCAUCAAAAGAGGUAGAAUAUAAUGGAAGACUCCGAUAGCACAACCAUGAGCAAUAAAACAAAAGGAAGGUAAGAAAAGCAUAAUGAAUAAGGAAAAGAGUUAUUCAUAACAAGGGAGAAGAGAAUAAGAACCAGCAACGCAUAGCAACAUAACAAAGAAGAAUAGAAGAAGAAGAUAAUGUUGAACAAAGAAUACGGGUAAGGAUUAAGGAUGUACAUGAGCCUAAUUAAUGCCAAAAACUACAAUGUUCAAUAUUCUUUGUGUAUUUUUAAUAAAUUUGAAAUUGUGCUCAAACUUGACAUGUAUAUCAACCGAGUUGAACUUAACGAGCUUUUAUGAGACCAAGCUCAUAUCUUCAACUAUUUACAUAUGAAUUUUUUAAUCUUACACUAAAUUUUGUUAAUUCUUCACUUGAUUUAGUUGGUGAACCAAGAUCAGAUAAGCUUUUAUUGAGUAUUGAGUAACUUAAUUCAACUUGUGAGAUACACAAAAACAUAUUUUGCCCACAUCAAUGUGAAAAAGUGCUUCCAUAUCAAAAUAAUACAAAUUGCUAAGAAAAAGUUUAAACAUUAUCAUAACACAUAGCUUGUCGAAACACCCUUAAACCAACACAUGAAAGCCACUUGAAUAAUAACACUAGGAGUAUUUCUUUUCUAUUACGGAGAGGUGCUUUAAAAAAAAGUGACAUAGGUGAUGAGAAGUUGAAUAGUUCUGGCUUAGUUACUAAUUACCUGUUAUUUAGUGCAUAUGUCCAUAGUUCAAUUGUGCAUAUUUCCAGCUUCAAAGCAAAAAUUAUGCGUGUUUCCACCUCUAAACCUCAAUUUAGGGUUCGUUUGGAAGUGGAGGAUUUGGACAGAAAAGAAAAAGAAAGAUGAGAAAGUUAAAUUUUCCUUCAUUUGUUAGUUUUUAGUAGGAAAUAAAAGAAGGAAAAUGGAAGGAUUUAAGAGAAUGAAUACUAGGCAAAAUUUUUCCUCCCAAAUUGGAGAGAAAUGGAGAGAAAGUUGGAGGAAACUCGUGAAAUUUUUUUUACCUCCGUUUGGAUUAGCUGUUUUUGGGGGUGUCUUUGAAAAAUUUUAUUGUAGCAAAGUUUUUAGAGUAUAUUUUGGGAUAUUUUUAGAAAAUAUUUUGAAAUAUUUAAGAGUAGUAGAGUUUUUAAAAUAUAUUUUGGAAAAUUUUUAAACAUUAAAAAAAUUUAGACUACUUUUUAUGGUACCUUUUAGAAUACUUUUAAAAAUUUUUUAUAGUAUUUGAAGAAUAGAAGGAUACAAACAGAAACAAAUAUUUAAUGACUUUCAUAUCCAAAAUCAUUCCACUAAUUCUCAAAACUCCCAAACAACAUAACAAUUCCUUCUUUUCUCUUCUCUUCUCUCAUAACUUAAGUUUCCUUCUUCUCUUUCUAUCCUAAACUCCCAAACUUAGCCUUAGUUAGGGAUGUAAUCGAGCCAAGUCGAGCUUGAGUAUCGCCAUACUUGAGCUCGACUCGACUCAUAUACACAGAAGCUCGAGCUCGACUCGAGCUCGAUCGAGUCCAAAAAUCGAUACUCGUAGCUCGACUCGAAGAAUUUCCUUUAGGCUCGAAACUCGAUUCGAUAAGGCUCGACCUUUAGUCAAGCCUUAUCAAGUCGAGUCUUAUCAAGCUUUUUGACUCGAUUUGACCAAAAAAUGAGAUCAAAGGUGACGUUUUGGGAAGAUUCAAAGGCAAGCAAGUAGCUAUCAGCUGGAGUAAAUGAGGCAUAAAAUCCAUGAUUCAUCAAAACAAAUACAACCAAAAGUAUCCACAUUCUACCUCCCACAGUUAGCAUUUUUAACACCCCUAAAAAUCAAAUUCACCACAAAGAAGAAUAGAGAAGAAAAAAGGGAAAUUCCCACUUGCUGGAUUGCUUGACAUGAAACUUUCAAAUUCAGCAAUUACCCACCAACGGUAGGUGCCCACAAGAGCAACAAAAAAUGGAUGAUUCUAAUUCCUCGGAUCAUAGUUCCUAAGUGUGCUGCAAAAGUACCCAAACUAACCAAAAUUCCCCACAAAAUUCCAAAACUCAGCAAAACAUGAGCUGAGCCACCAAAUUGAGAGACAAACAAUUAUCUCAAACAGCCACAAUAUCCCAACUACCACAAGCUCAAUUCAGAAACCAAUGCCAAGAUCUAUCCAGAAAUUCCUUUUCCCCACAAAUAUCACUAAUUACUAACUAAAGAAAGCUGCUUUAAACAAGAACAUGUCAGAAAAAUAUGUUCCUGGUUCAGAAAUGGACCAUAGUCCAGCAGAAUUACAAGUGUUUGAACAGGAUAUAGAAGAAUGAAGUUGAAAACUCUUGUCACUAACCUGACCCAGCAAAGAUGACCUCAAUACCACCAUUAAAAUGGAAUCCCAGAGGCUCGAGCCUUUUACAGCAAAUUGCAACAGCUCUUUCCAGGCUGUUGAUUAGGCUGUCAUUUUAAACAGAGGAAAGAGCAAAAGAAUUGGACCCACAAGCAAAACCUCUGAACCUUAUACCACACACGACACACUCAAAAAACAAGUUUUCUAGACAUUUAUCCUACACAUUUGCAUGUCAUUAACCAGCGGCCAGCCUGCUCACACAAUAGUCAUACAUUCGGCAAAUGAAAGAAAAAGGCUUUAAAAUAUAAACAUACUCCACAAUAUAUAAUAAGUUACGUCUCAUAAAUUAACAAGGUCCAAAUUAUGAGCUAAUCUAGAUUUAGAAACAUAAAUCUUCAAAGCUUUGGCAAGUCGAAUUCUUUGAUUGUCUUGGCUUCCUACAAAAAGCAUAGAGGUAAAAACACAAAAAAAGUUACAUAACUUCCCAAAAGAAUAAAUUAACUUAUACUCAAUAACUCAAAUAUAAAAGUUUGGUAGUAAAACAAUAAAGCUGACCUUCAUCUUCUUUUUGAUGCCGUGAAGAUUCCUACACCAAUCUCCUGCGCACAUCAAUACUUGAACUGUCUCGGGGUGAAGUGCUGCUCGAUAGGUGUCAAUUACUCUAGUUCCGACACUAAAAGUGGCCUCCGAUGCAACUGUAGUUAUCGGAAUGGCCAAUAUAUCGCUAGCCAUUCGAGAAAGUACUGGAUAUGAGAUUCGAUUUAUUUUCCACCACCCCAAACAAUCAAAUUCAUCGAGAUCUUCUCCAAUCUUUUGGCGAGACUUGUCUAAAUAAUCAACCAAUUCUGACUUAUGAGGUUCGCUAGUCUCGACUUCAUCACAAUAUUGAUCAAAAUCACCCCAUCUAGUCUUCUUGGUCGCAUUUGUUCCUUGCCUUUGGGAAGAGCUAGAAGCCAUUGGCCCUCCUGUUGGAUUCGCCGCUAGAGCAACAUACUCAUCAUAUAACUCAAAUAGCACUCGGCGAAUGGUGGAAAUGUUAUGAGAAGCCUCUGAAGGUAGAUACAUUUGAGGGUAGGUGAAGUCCACAACCCUCAUUUUCUGUCUUGGAUCUAAAAUGGCAGCCACGGCCAAUAUCAAAUUACAUUCACCCCAAUACUUGUCAAACUUAGUUUUCAUCCUUCGAACUAUGGCCCGAAUGAAGGGGUCUUCAUCAUUGACUCGAGCAUCCAACACUUUUUUUAUCUUCACCAACUCUUGAAGGAAAAGAUUGCUCGUAGAUAAUCUGAACCAGAAAUUAUAUGUGUGCACUCCCAAAAUUUUUCCAAGACCGAACAAACCUUUUCAGCUUUUUUCCAAUCCUCAGCAGAUGGGCAAAAAUCGUAACUUUGCUCUCUAUCUUGGGAACGGGGAAAAACAUCCUUAAAUUUGAUGGCACAAUUCAGCAUCUCAAAUGUGGCAUUCCAUCUUGUCUUACAAUCGUAAAGCAACUUUUUUCCUGGUAUAUGGAGUUGUUGAGCAAUUUCAGCAAACAUCAAUGCACGCCCCUCUGAUCGAUUCACAAAUUCCACGGAAUCCCUAAUGGCUUUGGUGAUGUCCACAAUCUCAGAAAUGCCAUCUUGAACUACAAGGUUCAAGAUGUGUGCACAGCAUCGAACAUGGAACAAUUUUCCAUCACAAAGAAGCUUUUUGGACCUGGAGAUGUCAUCUCUUAAUAUUCUAACAGUUACAUCAUUGUUCGAGGCAUUAUCAACUGAUAUGCUGUAAAUUUUGUGCUCAAUGCCCCACUCUUUUGCACUUUUAAAAAUUGAAGAUGCUAUCUCAACUCCUCGGUGAGGCGGUGGUAUAUGUACCAAACUCAAGACUCGCUUUUGUAGUUUCCAAUCAGAAUCAAUCCAAUGCCCGGUGAUGACCAUGUACUCGAUCUUUUGAUUUUUCGACUUCCAAAAAUCGGUUGUGAUGCUCACUCUUUCCACAUUUUUCAACUUGUUCCUCAACUUAUUUUUUUCAAGCUCAUAUACUUGCAUACAAUCAUUUUUUGCUGUUGCUCGAGAGAUUUUCUUCCACUCUGGCACCGCUCGUUUCAUCAUAAGAUUGAAGCCUUCUUCUUCUAAUAUGGUGAAUGGAUGCUCAUGCAUUAGCACCCAAUGUGCAGCUGCCUCUCUAACUUUCUCCAUGUCAAACUUUCCGCUCAAGGGUGGCAAAGUCGGAAAAGAAUCAUCAGCUGGCUGGAAAUUUAAUUUUGUUUGCUGCUCAGCCUUUCUAAUGCUUGCUUUUCGGGCUGAACAUCUAUUCCGAUGUCUCCACAUGCUACUUGUUUGCUUUGACUUGCCUUUUGACAGCUUUUUCUUGCAAUGCUUGCAAAUGGCAUAAUUCAAUCCAUUUUCCUCAACUUCGUCAAAAUCAUCCCAAGCCUCAGAUGUUUUAUUUCUUUUAGGGAUCUGGAAUUCAUCUUCAGCUUCAGUCAUUUCCCGCGUGUCUCCUCCUAUUUGACCAGUUGGUUCUUCUUCUUGUUCUUGUUCUUCAAGAGCAAAUACUUGAACUCCAGCUGUUGUUGUAUCAUUACUUAUGAAAACAGGGGUAUCCAAUGUGAAUGGAGUAGUUGAAUCAUGAGCAGAUGAUCGCGGGAUAGAAGAUACCUCGGGAGGACUAAUUGACAUACCUACAAUUUACCCAUAAAGUGAAUAUAAACAUUCAUUAGUACCAGCAUAUCACCUCAAAAAAACUGCCCAACAUAUUAUACAUUUAGCUUACCAACUCCUUCGGCAUUGCUUUCUAAUCUUGAGCAACUCGUGGAAUGUCUAGUGCCACUUUGCAUUUUCUUGACAAAGAUUCUGCCCGACUGGAUUCAGAAGACAUGAAGGUAGUAAGACAUCCAAAACAGCAAAGUGUGGUCUAAGAAGAAGCAGAAAAAGAAAAAGAAUAAGCAUGUGAGGUUGCUCAAAUCCGAAUUUGGGCAAAUUCAUCACACCUAGUUGGUCAAAUCAUAACACAAAGGAUUUUGAAGUCAAUCUUAGCUAUAUUUUUGCACACCAUUAUCCUAAGUCUGAUUUUUUAAGAGCACAAAUUAAAAUUAUUUACAUAAAUAUUGCACGAUUCCUAAAUCUGCAUCCGGUAUUUGGCGCUUCUUGAGCGCCCACAGAAUUGAAGUACUUAGAAAUCCGCAGAUGCAUCAUAUGACGCAUACUAUUACUAGCAAAUGGUGUCCAUUAUCCAGUAAAAGGAAAAAGAAAAGCCAAAGAGAUAUAGCGUCCUCAGGCUCUACUUCCCAACUGUCUUCAUUAAAAUUGUGUAAAACGUCUACUAAUGAUGGCUGAUAUUAAAAUAUGUUGUCAUCAUAACUUCUCAGCUCCAAGCUUUAAUAGAUGAAGAGGUGUAAAAAUUAAUAAUGGAACUUAAUAGGAUUUAUCAGCUCAGCCACAGUAGGGUAAUAAAAUCUAUACUGCGUAGUUGUAAUUUGUAAAAUAACUAGAAGCUACUACAAAUUAAUGAGUUCAAAUAGUUACAAAAACUUUGAUUUGCAAUUUGCCCACCUUCAAGAUCUGUGGGAGUUCACAUACUCCGCCUGGAAGAGGACUGCAACAAGGACACAGAAUCCUAAGACAUUUUUCUACAUACAGCACAAUUUUGAAUUCAAAAACUGUUGCCUGUUAGAUAUGGCUCGAAUUGAACUAAGCUCGACAAUGACUAAUCAAGAAGCCCUGAUCCGGACUCCAUCAGAAGGUUUUCAUUUUUCUUCGAUUUUAGUAUUUUUUUAGUUCAUCAGUAGGUUGUUUGAUAGAAGUUGUGAAGCACCGAGGCAUAAUCCAAGAAAGUUCGACAAAGCAAAUCAUCAAGCAAAGGAUACCAGAAGAGCUGCGGUGAAAAUUACCAAGACACCAACUUUAACAUUAGAGCAGAGACAGACAUGCCAGUAACCAGAUGCGAUGGCGAUGGCAAUGGAGUCUCACAGAUGCGGUGAGCAACGGCGUCGGCCACGAACGAGAGACUGAGAGUAAUAGAGUGAGGGUGUAGAUCUAAAUCAGUCAGAGUCAGUGGUUGCCGGCUGGUAAAGUGAAUUUUUUGGCGAGGCUUUCUUCGAAUAGAGAAGAAAGUCGAACAGAGAAGGAAGAAAAGACCUUUUUUUCUAGACAUUUUUUCUUUUUAGUGCUUUUUACAAUUAUGUUAUUACUUUUUUGCCAUUAUAGGAUUUUAUUAUAAAGAAGAGUAUAUUGUAAAUUUCAUAUAACUUAUACCCAUAAUGGUCAUUUUAUAAUUAUAAUAAAUAUAUAUUAUUUAAAUUAUAAAUAUUUUAUUUAAAUAACUCCGGCUCGUCAAGCUACUCGACGAGCCUCAAGCCCGGAAAAUGUGACUCGAAACUCGACUCGAUUUUCAUUCGAGCUACUCGAAACUCGGCUCGAACUCGGUCAACCCGAGUUCGAGCCGAGUUGUUGACCACUCGGCUCGCGUACAUCCCUAGCCUUAGUGCCUACACUUUCUACAUAUUCUUAUUGUUCUAAUGUACUUGUACUUAACUAAUCUCCAUGUCCCAUAUAGCAAAAUGACAUAUCUCGCGAUGUUCUCGGUGCCAUUAAUUACUAACUUGGGGGACCAAUCCGUAAAACUGACAAUCAAAUUUGAUAAGAUAGCGGGCCACUAUAGCAAAUACCCAAAACAUUUGAAUUGAGCCCAGAAAGGUCCCUCCCUCGCUCCAGCCCCUACAGUAUUCACUUUCUGGGCUGUUUUCUAGGCUGCCUAAGAAUGGGUUUAUACUUGAAUCUUGUUGAUUUCCAUGUUUAAUUCCACUGGAUUUAUCGUAAUUCAAUUCGUGUUUUCAAGAAUUCAGGCCUCGUGAAGCCUUAAUCCCUUACGUUUUACAGUUCUUGGCCAUGGCGUCUGGGGAUUCCCCUCGAGCCCGAAUCGACCAGGUAUCCCUAUUUCUCCAUCCUUAAGUCAUAAAAUGACAAGGACAAAAGGGAUAUGUAAACUUGUGUAUGGAUAUGCUAGAGUAAAAAAAUUUAUGCAUUUUUUCUGUAAAAAUUUGAUCUUUUUUGGAUUCUUUUAGCAUUAUUAUUUUUGGGGUUUGAGUUAUCUGGGAAAAUUCUCUUGUAUUUAACUUCUUCAUACAAUUUUGCAUUAAAAAAUAGUAUGAUUGUUAAGAAUAUUUUAGUAAAGGUGAGGUUUUUAUGUUAAAAUUCCUCCUUGUCACCUUCUAUUAAUUUUGUGAUUGUAUAUUUUGAUUGCUUGAUUUAUUUGGCUGAAUUUUAUCUAUGGUUUUUGUUUUUGGGUUUAUUUGUUGUUGUGGACAGUUCUUUGCUUCGAAGAAGAAGAGGAAGGCUAUAUCACCAAGUGUGAAGUCCAAGAAAGUUGGAAAAGAUGCAAAGAUUGCAGUUGAAGGAUCUCCUGGUACCAAAGGCUCUUUGGAUAAUUUUUUAGUAGGUUCAGAGGAGAACAAAAAUAGCCCUAAUCGGGCAGCUAGCGAAUCACCAGUUAAGCGAGUUCCAAUUAAGAGAAAUUUAACGUUGGAGAUUAGUUUAUCUUCUAAAGAUGAAAAGAAAGAUGCUCUUUUGCCGAUGGAAGUCCGUGCUCAAGGUCUUGAUUUAUUUGGAUAUGCUCAGAGGGUAAAUUCUGAAACUUCGAAUGAUUUUGGUGGUUCUGUAGCUGGAGCAAGUAAGGAAGUUCCAGAAAAUGCAACAGCUGGAGAAGCUGAAAACCCGGAAUUAAAGCGGUUUGCCACGAAUUUUUUGUCCUUGUAUUGCAGGUAUUGGCUUUAUUUUAGCAGUGAAUCCAUAGUUAAUUGAGAUGAUAAAUACAUAGGACAAAUUCUGUUCAUCUGCUGUGACUGACAAUUAGUUGGUGCUCAUCCCUGUUGUCUCUUCUAUCAUAAUUCAUAUCCUAUCCUUUCUAAUGUCAUUUACCUUGUAGUGCAAGUGUACCAUCAGAAACAAAUGUACACGCAAUUAAGAGGCAUGGUAGUCCAUCUGCACUUGAUUCAGAGGAUAGAUCAUCUAAGAGAAGGCAUUGCAAUAUUAAUAUGAGUCAGUUGCAUGUUGAAGGUGAAGGUAUUUGUUCUGGAGAUGUACAUAGCAAGCCCCUGCAGAGUGCAAUUAUUGAUGAAUCUGGAAAUGCUGUUUCCAAAUGCUCUACAGAGGUGAGUACCUAUUAGAACUACUUCUAUGACCUAAUUUACCCCAAUAGUUUUGAAGUUUGUGUAUGUCAUUACAUGACUUUUGCAGAUAGAAUUGGGUGAUAAUGAAACAGUACCUGGAACAAGCUUGAAGAGAUGUGUAAAUGCCUCUUUGACCAUUGAUGCAGCUGGAUGUAUUACACCUGGUUCACUCAAUGGUAAACUUGGACGUCAUGAAACGCCCAAGUCAGGACGUGGAAGCUCCAUAUUUUCACCUGGAGAAACUUUCUGGAAGGAAGCAAUUCAAGUUGCUGAUGGUUUGCUUAUUCCUAAAGAUAAUUUGCAUUCCCAAUUUGCUUUAGAAUCUGAACAUUUGAAGCCUGAUAAAGAGACAAGUAUGGCAAAUAAUUUACCAGACGGAGGUUGUGGCAAUAAGUUGAAUAACUUGCUGUAUGCAGGUGUUGCCAGAGAUUCUAAUGGUGGAAUUAAUUCUGUUGUUGGACCAGUAUCGAGGCACAGCAAAGAUUUGGUUAAGGAAGUUUCUCCACUUCCUGUAAAGCAUUUUGAUUUUUCUAAGAUUGAGGACAAAAACAUGGAUGAGGAAACCCCGUCUUAUGUUAAUUUAAGCUCACAACAUAUUAUUAAAGGAAAAACACCUGGUUGUGUGUCCCAAAAUCAAGAAUAUAAACAAAUUUGUCACAAUUUGAGCCUUCAGAAUAAUGCCGCUCAUACAGAAUGUGAUUUGCUUGGAGUACAAGAUAUGAUAUCCAAAUAUGAUGCCACUGAAAAUAAGUUGAAUAUUUGGGCGCAAGAUCACAGUGACAUGUUUACCACAAAGGAUAGGAGAUUGAAUGAUUUAACUCCUAAAGGUGGCUUCAAUCAAGAUGAUAGUCCUUCAAGCUUUUUACCACUUGAGGAUCGUUUGGACCUCAACAACUGGCUGCCUUCUGAAUUAUGCAGCAUAUAUAAGAAAAGAGGAAUGUCAAAAUUGUAUCCAUGGCAGGUAUGUCUUUCACCUUUGGUGAGCGCUAUCAAUAUUAGUUUGCUAACGUUGGCACUAAUGCUUUGGACCAAUUGGUUAGUCCCUACUUCAUGUUAACUUAGGUUUUGUUAUUGUGGUCCAUACUUCAUGUUAACUUAGGUUCUGUUAUUUGUUGGCUCGUUUCUAGGGUAAAAACAAUGUGAGAUGUUUAUGUUGUUGAUUGGUUUUUAAGCAAGAAAAGAUAUGUAAUAUGUAAUAUAGACAUGAUGUCUUCGCUUUUAUAUAACGACAAGAAGAAAGGGAACUCGUGAAGAGAUAUAUUGAUGGGUGAUUGAGAACCUGUGUUCCUGUACUAUGGUUCUAUGCUCAUAGAUGCAAAUCAUAUGUUGGCUGUAGGUCAAUGUUUUCUAAAGUCUUAGAAUGGACAAGGUUUGCUAUUGCUGUUAUAGGAUCUGUGCUAGAAGCCUCUGCAUUCUAAUAUGUUGGCAACUAACAUCUGGGUUCAUGUGUUGUUUUGGCAUAUCUUUCUUUCCGUCUCUAAAGAAUUUGAUAAAUUAGUUAUCAGAAAAGGUGUCAUUGUCCUGGUUGAUCAUAUUGUGCUAGGUGUCUGUACUUCAUUUUCCAUGUUGUAAACUGUCUUAAAUCUGAAAGCAGCCUUCGAUUUUGGAGAUUCAUCUGUUAUAGUGCUGGCAUAGUGGUUUGAUAGGACUUAAUAGAUGAAGUUAGGUGAUGUUUCACCUUUUUAUUUUUUAGUCUUCACCUCUAUUUGGUCCUUAUCCUAUGCUAUUUUUAGGAAUUAGUGACUUAAGAUUUCAUUUCAUGGCACAUUCAGAUGGUUCAUCUAACAGUUGAGUUAAGAUUGUUGUUUUUUCUUUAGGUUGACUGCCUUCAGGUGGAUGGUGUUUUGCAGAACAGGAAUCUUGUAUACUCUGCAUCUACAAGGUAAUUUUGCAAAUCAAUUUGUAGUUCAUUUCAAUAUCUUCAGUGAAAUUGGUCAUUCUACUACCAACUAUGUUACAUGUUGCUUUCUUUGAACAUCCAUCUAAGCUUUAUUGUCUACUGAUAUUGUUAACUUCUGAAACUCCCGGAGAAGCAUUAACUUUCAGAGAAAAUGGAAUACUUCUCACAAAAUACAAUGCUACAGUGAUAUUUUGAGCAUGAUGUUAACUGUUAUAUCUACGUAAUCUCUACUUAUACCAUGAUCUUUGUUACUGUAAAACUUAGUUGAAAUUAAUUCUUACCACAUGAUAUUCUGUUUUCCUUUUUUAUGCUCUAAUUUGUCCGUAGUCUUUCCUUAACUGCACUUUUCUAAUUUGUACAUUUGGAUGCAUUCAUUAUUGAGGUUUCUGGGGGUUUCUCUAAUUGAUUGAAUAAGCAAAAAGGAUUGCAUAUGUAAGAUACUUCGAUAAGUUUGUCCAGGUUAUCCUUUAUUUUCCUCUUUGUUUCCUGUAGUGCUGGCAAAAGUUUUGUUGCUGAGAUACUGAUGCUACGACGAAUCCUGUCAACCGGAAAAAUGGCAUUUCUUGUUCUGCCAUAUGUGUCUAUAUGUGCAGAAAAGGUGGUGUUUGGAUUUUGUUCUACAAAUAGCUUUCUCGAGGACUUGAUAUACUUGUCUUGUGUUUAUUUAGUAUCUAACUGAUGCAGGCCGAACAUCUUGAGGUGCUUUUGGAGCCACUUGGUAAGCAAGUACGUAGUUACUAUGGUAAUCAAGGUGGUGGAACUCUUCCUAAGGAUACCUCUGUGGCAGUAUGCACAAUUGAGAAAGCAAACUCCUUAAUUAACAGACUGUUAGAAGAGGGUCGUCUUUCAGAACUUGGUAUCAUUGUGAUAGAUGAACUACACAUGGUAUGUUUUCAAUUUAGUUUUUUUGUAAUGCUGCAACAAAGCUUAUUCUGCUCUCUGAUAGUUAUGUGUUUCACAGAAUCAAUUACAUGUUUUGUGUUCAUAGUAUAACAUCAUGGAUUUUUCUGGCAGGUUGGUGACCAGCAUAGGGGUUAUCUAUUGGAACUUUUGCUUACCAAACUUCGCUAUGCAGCAGGUGAAGGCAGUGCAGAAUCAUCUAGCGGGGAAAGUUCAGGUACAGGCAGCAGUAAAGCUGACCCUGUACGUGGUCUCCAAAUUGUUGGUAUGAGUGCAACUUUGCCGAAUGUAGCUGCAGUAGCUGACUGGCUUCAAGUAUGUGGUAUCUCAUUGCUGUCUAUGUUCUUUACAUGUAGAUCAUCAGAUGAAUUUUGCAGUCUUUCUUGACGAUUUACUCAGGCAGAAGCAGCUCCUCAAAUGAUAAUAUGAAAUUGAAAAAAAAAAUCUGUCAUGCACUUAAGUAAUUUGAUUAGACAGAUUAUCUGCUUUUUGUGAAGAUUGCUCUUAGGUCAGGAUGCAUCUUUUUAUGAACUGGCUUUAGGAUCUUGCCUAAUAUGCCUUUAUUCAAGCCUAUUUUGCACUGAAAUAAUUAAUUAAUUAAUGUGGAGACAUAUUUGUGUUCAGUCAUCAAUUCUUCCGGUUGAAACAAUAUUGAAAGUUUUAUACUGAUCUAUAUUCGUACAAUUAAGUGUUUCGCCUCUUCACUGAACUUCUAAUGUUGAUAAAAUUUGCUUAUGUUUGAUUUUUAUAAGAGUUGGGCAUCUUCAUUUGGCUUUAAACAGUGGCGAGAUUUUUUCCCCUUUUCAUUUUUGAGGUCAGAUGUUCAUAAUAAAAUUGAGGGAUCAAAUGGUAGGAAAAUGCUUUCUAAAAUCCAGAAAAUAAAAAACCAUCUGACGUGACUUGGAAACCUAUUAUUUUGUUAUUGAGUCAACAAAUGUUUCUUUCCUAUUUUAACUUGUCUAACAUUUUGUAACAUCGAUUGACCAUUAAAUUGGUACUCAAGUUCAAAAUUUCAGAAACAUUGUCUCAGCAGACCCUAAUAUCUCUGCUGAUUAAAAUUAUGGCCCAGUUAUUUUGUUUAUCAUCUCAUAGAAUACUAGAAAAUAAUAAAUCAACUCUGUAACUCUUUGGCUAUCAGAUAUACGGUAAGGGACCCAAAGGUUGAUUUUUGAAGGUCGUGUUUGCUGUAGGCAGCAUUCUCACAAUUGUGCUUUUGUUAUCGUGCUUUUCUUUGGGUUGCUGGUGUUGCAAUGAUAAUACCUCACAAAUGGGAGUAGACGAUAUGGAACUGGAACAUGCUUUAUAAGCUCCUCGAUGGCUAGGUGAAUCAAGUGUCGUGUUUUAUUAAACCUGCACUGACAAGGAUACCUCACGAAUGUUAUUUGAAAAACAUUUGACAGUAUGUAAUGCGCAAAACCAAUGCGUGAAUACUCGACAAUUUGAAAUAUGAAAUUAUACACUGUACAACAAUUUCCUUUUAACAUGCAUACACUGGUAUACUUGUUUAUAUGUAUCUGUAUGUAGGUGUUCUGUCUUUAGGUGUUCCAGAGUGCUACCUCGUUAGGUGAAAAAAAUAAAAGGCUGUGUGUUGUACUUUGUAACUGAUCUUUUUAUUGUCUUUUGAGCAGGCUGCUCUCUAUGAGACUGAUUUUCGGCCUGUUCCACUGGAAGAAUACAUUAAAGUGGGUUAUACCAUCUAUAACAAAGAAAUGAACAUCGUUAGGACAAUUCCUAAAAUAGCUGAUAUUGGUGGUAAAGAUCCAGAUCAUAUCGUUGAAUUAUGCAAUGAGAUUGUUCAAGAAGGUCACUCAGUUUUGAUAUUUUGCUCGAGUCGGAAAGGAUGUGAGUCAACUGCUAGACAUGUUGCAAAGUACCUUAAGAAGUUUUCUGUCAGCCCCCAGAAUGGUCAGAACGAGUUAAUGGAUCUUGAAUUUGCUAUUGAUGCCUUGCAUAGAUCUCCGGCAGGUUUAGAUCCUGUACUAGAAGAGACUCUUCCUGCUGGCGUAGCCUAUCACCAUGCUGGCCUUACGGUGUGUUUUCAAUUUAAGUCUUUUGGAAUGAAUUUUAUGCUUGCAUUAGUUGUUGUUCUCUUGUUGAACUUAUCUAUAGUGGAUUUUGUGGUCUUGCCUUUUGUGAGGAAUUGCAUUUCUUUUUGCCAAUUCUCAUAUUUCUAGUUAUCCGCAAUAUCCAUCCUAUAGUUUCCUCCUGACAUGCUGGAUCUGUAAUUGUGCUGUUUAUUGUGAAGGUUGAAGAAAGGGAAACUGUUGAAACAUGUUACCGUAAAGGAUUUGUGCGGGUCUUAACGGCUACAUCUACAUUGGCUGCUGGUGUGAACCUGCCUGCAAGGAGAGUCAUUUUCCGGCAACCUCGUAUUGGUCGUGAUUUUAUUGAUGGGACAAGAUACAGGCAGAUGGCUGGCCGAGCUGGUCGGACUGGUAUAGAUACAAAGGGAGAGAGUGUAAGUUUAGUCCUUUAGUGCUAGCUUUUGAUAUCACCUAUUUAACUGAUAGCAAUAUUUGUGUGUUAUCAUGUCCAAAAUUGGAGAGUGUUUUCUGUUUAAGAGCUGGACUAAAUGAUGUCCUUUUCCCCAUCCAUUGAUUUGCUCUGAAGAAAAUGAAAUUGUUGGAGAGCAUUUCCUGUUUCUGAACUGGACUUAAUGAUGUUCUUUUCCCAUCCACUGAUUUGCUUUCAAGAAAAUGAAAUUACUUGUAGAAUCUUUCUUUUCUUGUAUUCCAUGUGUGGUAUGAAACAAACUUCAGUUCUCUUAAGUACUUAAAGAUUCUGCAGGGAGCAAAUGAAUAAAUGAGAGGGAAUGUGUACAAAUUUUAAGGCAUUCAACUUGGUGUGGAGGGAUUAUUGUCUAUUUCCUUCUUGGUGUUUACUCUUUCAUUUUGGAGCUUUUUUAUUUGUUUGGCUAAUCUUUGGUUUCUAUUGUAAUAUCACCUAUAUAAUUAAAAAGUGUCAUCUUGAUUCUCUAUCUUUAGCUUUCCGGAUACAGGUUCUGAUUUGCAAGCCAGAAGAGACCAAAAGAAUUUUGGGGAUCUUAAAUGAGGGCUGUCCAGCACUGUAUUCUUGCUUGUCAGAAGAUAAAAAUGGGAUGACCCAUGCAAUAUUGGAAGUUGUUGCUGGCGGGAUUGUUCAAACUGCUAACGAUAUACAUCGAUAUGUAAGGUGUACACUUCUCAACUCAACAAAACCAUUUGGAGAUGUUGUGAGAUCAGCGCAGGAUUCUCUCCGCUGGCUAUGCCAUAAAAAGUUUCUUGAAUGGAGUGAAGACACUAAGCUGUAUACCACAACUCCUCUUGGCCGUGCAUCUUUCGGCAGUUCUCUCAGCCCAGAAGAGUCAAUGGUAAAUUUCUGAUUCUGCUGUAUGUCUUCAUUCUCUUUUCCAGUUUGCUUUCCUUUGAUGUCUUAACAUUGAUUUGAGGCCACUUUUUGUAAUUCUGCUCUACCAGAGAAGUGUAUUAUGUGAGUUUUUGUGAUUUUGUUAACAUUUCAUUCUGUUCCACAUUCUUAAUUUUUCCUAGAUUGUGCUGGAUGAUUUGACAAGGGCAAGGGAUGGAUUUGUGCUAGCAUCUGAUUUGCAUUUGGUAUACCUAGUAACACCGACGAAUGUGGAUGUUGAGCCAGACUGGGAGUUGUACUAUGAAAGAUUCAUGGAGUUGUCUGCUCUAGAUAAGGUAAUUUUGCUUCUUAUUCUCCACUGGUCCUCCAUAUUAAUGUCAUAUUCUGCUCCAUCUUUGGAGGAAAACAUCUUCAGUUGUGUAUGUGCUAGCAAGUUUUACACUGUUUGAUCCAUAGAGGUGUGCAUCAUCUCAUAUGACAAAUUAUGUUACAAAAUUGGCUGUUUUUAUUGCUGGAAGUAUAGGCAUGCAUGUCCCAGAAUGCUGGUUUUGAAGUAUAGCACAAAACACUUAAGGCAAAAAAUGAUGCCCAUAGAUGCAUGAUAACUGUACAGUGUCUCCUCUUUGUUUUUAUUUCCAUCUAGGCUAUUGUAUUGUUUGUACUUAGCAUCUUUGGUUCUUUUCUCAAUGGGAUUGUCUUGUCUUACGUGCUUUUGCUUGGCCUGUGAGGUCCUGUAUGUUUUACUUGGUCGAACUUAUCCAGAAUAAAACAUGACAUCAUCUUGAAGCUGGUUUAUACUGAUAGCUGUAUUUAGGACAAUAUGCGAACCAUUUGCCAAUGUUAUUUAUUUGCAUACAACUUAAAUUCUUUCCCCAUAUGAGAUGCAGUCAGUUGGCAACCGAGUUGGAGUACAAGAACCAUUUUUGAUGCGUAUGGCACAUGGAGCACCACUUCGCACCUCUAAUAGAUUGAAGAAUACCAGCAAAGGCUUGCAGGCAAAACCAAAUUGUAUUGCAAUGUGGAACUCUGCAAUGCUUUCAGAUGAACAAAUGCUUCGAGUGUCCAGACGGUUUUAUGUUGCUCUAAUCUUGUCGACACUUGUGCAGGUGAAAGUUAAUUCAAUUAUAUGCAUCUUCUUAAAAACAAUAUGCCUAUAAUUGUUUUCAUACCCUAACAAGAAAAUUUUAUACUCAUGUUCUAGGAAGUCCCCGUUGCUGAGGUGUGUGCGGUUUUUAAAGUGGCCAGAGGCAUGGUUCAAGCUUUACAAGAUAAUGCAGGAAGGUUUGCAUCCAUGGUUUCUGUUUUCUGUGAAAGGCUUGGCUGGCAUGAUCUCGCAGAUUUGGUUGCCAAGUUUCAGAAUCGUGUUUCAUUUGGAGUUAAGGCUGAGAUAGUGGAGCUUACCACCAUACCAUAUGUUAAGGUUAGUUACAUUGCCAUAUUGUCCUUUUUAAGGUUUUCAGGUGAAUCUAAACAGACACCUUUACAACUUAGGGUUCGCGAGCUAGAGCACUUUAUAAAGCUGGUCUGCGAACUCCUCAAACAAUUGCUGAGGCAUCAAUUCCUGAGAUUGCCAAAGCACUGUUUGAAUCUUCAUCAUGGGCUGCACAAGGUACAAUGUUGUAGUAUCCCUUGGGAUAUUUGUUGGUUAUAUGCUUCCUUCUGUUUUUUCUAGCUUACAUGCUUGUCAUUUUGGGUAGAUGAAGUUUAACUUUACUAUAUAUUUAGUUAAUAAUUGCAUGUAGCAUAUGCACGUUUGCACUUUGAAUUCAAGUGUGUUGACAGGCUAUUCUUCGCUUCCCCCACUCUUAUACAUUGGAGUUUAGUUCGACUUCUGCUUAUGUCAUCUGACUUUUCUUUUGUUUGAGAAUUUAUCAAACCCAUAGUGACUGGAAAUGUUAGAAUUGUGCAUUGCAUCAAUGGAGAUGACUAUGAAUUUAUCUUCCUCUUUUAUUCUUUUGCCACAUGAACUCAGUAUGUGGUCGUUGUGUGUCCCGCUUAAAUUUCAAAGGAUACAGUGGAGUUAGGUAUUCAUACACAUGUUAUAUCACAAGGCUUUGACUUCCAGUCUAAUGAUUCCAAUCGUAUUGCAGCUGCGAAAUUCGUAAUAAGAAGACCAUAUUGUGCUCAUUUGGCUUUGCCAUGUUUGUUGCAUUAUUUGUGUCUCCUGUAACUUUUCUCUGACCUGGUUCUACUCCAUGGAUAACUGGAUAUUAAAGGCACGGCACAGUGGAGAAUACAAUUGGGAGUUGCCAAGAAGAUUAAAAAUGGUGCACGAAGGAUUGUUCUUGAGAAAGCAGAAGAGGCAAGGAUUGCUGCUUUCUCAGCUUUCAAAUCACUUGGACUUGAAGUUCCACCUCUUUCUCGACCCUUAUUAUCCAUUGCUGCUGGAAAUGCACCACAGAAAGAAGCAUCCAGCUCUUCCGUAGAGGAGUCAACUAGUAGCCUUGGUGGUUUGAAACACAAUGAGCAAACUGACAAUAUAACUGGGUUUGUAUCAAAAGCUCAUGAACAGAAGUUAGCGAGGACAUCAUUUACUGGGGUAAAUUCAGCUGGUGCCAAGCAAGGUGAGGUUGUUGCCGACAAGACUGCAUCAGUGAUGGAAGGUCCUAAUGCUCCUUACAUGCAUAAUUCUACUUCUGAUUAUGUAGACAAUGCAAACACUUCCCUGUCUUGUCAAUUAUCUAGUAUUAGGCAUGGAAGAAGUGGUUAUGUUGACAAGAUCGAUAAUUUUGGGGAGCAGCAGCAAAACAGAGGCACUCCACAUACUGCAAGUAAAGAAAGGGUACUGGACAAAGGUCCCAUAAAUGCAUCCAAUAUUCCUGGCGGAUUUGACACUUUUUUAAACUGGUGGGAUAAUAGUCAAGAGUUUUACUUGGAUGUCCACUUUAACAGAAGAUCUGAAGUUAAUUCAACUGUUCUUUUUGAAAUACAUGGUAUGGCAAUUUGUUGGGAGAAUUCACCUGUGUAUUAUGUGAGUAUUCCCAAGGAUCUAUUGUUGUUUAACAGCAGAAAGACGGAUAAAAUGUUGUCAAAUAUUUCUGGUGAUAAUGGGAAUGCAGUACCUCCAAUGGAUCAGUUUGAUUUGGCCAAAUCUCGUUGGCAGAGAAUUGGAAAAAUAAUAGGGAAGAAAGAUGUCAGAAAAUUCACAUGGAAUUCAAAAGUUCAAAUUCAGGUGCUUAGGUAUCCUGCUGUUUCCAUUCAUAGGUUGGGUAACCUGAAUUCUGCUGUCAAAUCUGUGGGUCUGGAACUUAUUGAUGACUCAUAUUUUGUUCUGUCCCCUCUUCAUGUGCAAAAUUUUAUAGACCUGUCCAUUGCUGCAUGGAUCCUCUGGCCUGAUGAGGAGAAAAGUUCCAAUCCUAAUCUGGAAAAGGUAAUCAUCAGCGUCAUGUCAACAAUCUCACUAUGACUUUGAGUAAAAAGUAUUUUUUAUUAUAAAGAACUCGUUCGUUUUUCCAGUCAACUUUAAGAAAGAACAUUAUUAUGUUUGGUAUAGCCGUGAGUCAAGGAUUCAAAAGUAUAUAGUACUUUUUUUAUUGAUUUGGCAUCAGCAGUAAGUGAUGGUACUGUAAUUCAUCAUGGAAGAGGAGUACUAAAUUAUAUCUAAAAACUAUACGUGAUUUGAUCAUUCCUGUGCACUGCUUUCCGGAUUUAGUGCAGCAUGGGAUAGAAAAAAUGAAUUAAGUUGUGUUUGCCACUGUACAAAUUCUAUGAGUAGAAAAAUAAGAUCUUUGCCUAAUUUGUUUGCUUAAAUUAUGGCUAGAAGUAUGAGUAUUUGUAGUUAUGCAAAGUUUAUAUCUGCAUGUGUAAAUGGUGGAUUUAUGAAACCAAAAUCAGGAGACGUGUUAUAACUUAUAUCUUUGAAAUUUUAUCAUUUCUUAAUGUUACCUUUUGUUAAUAUCCUACUAUUAAUAAAGCGGGAGCAGCCAGUUUGGUGUUAAAAGAAAUAUCAGUUUUUGUAUUUCCAAAAAACAUCCUUCUUCAAGAUGUGCAGGUUUUGUAUUUUACUGAUCAAAUAAGUACUGCUUAGUUUGUUAUGAUCAGUUAUAAAUACUAUUAAUUAGUCUUAACAUUUUGUUUCUUUCUACAAUCCAUAUUUGUUUACACAAAAUUGUAACUUUUUGACCUUUUUUCUUUUUUAAAAUUUGCACACCUGUGCAUCAAUGACAGGUAAUCAUGAAUUCUCCAAUUUUAGGUGUUGAAGUUACUUAUUUUAUCAAAGGAAAGAGUUCUAGUUUUGGCAAUUUAACUAACAGUUGAGUGUCAUACUUUUGAAUUCGGCUGAAGAUUGUAAAACUCAAUAAAAGAUUUAUAUCUAUGUUCUGAUUGCAAUUUAUAUUGGGCCCAUCAAGAACUCAUAAUGUGGAGAUUGUUUUGGAAGAAAGUGCAUAAUGCUAGAACUUCUAAGGAUCUUUCUCUUUGGACAGCUCAUAAUUCUAUGUGUGUGAAUAAUUUCUUUUUUCUCCUGAUGACAGUAAUUGUUUUUGUUUAUCGAUUCUCAACUGUAUUAGGACGAAAAAUAGGUUGUAGAUAGAAAGUUAUAAGCAUCUUGGGGUGAAGGCUUUUUCAUGUGUUUUAUGAUGUGUGAUAUAAAUCUAAACACUUCUUUGGAAGUUUUAACUUGUUUACAUCUCACGAGUAAUUUCUGAUUAUAUGUUUCUUUGUGUUUACUUGUAUUUUCUGAAUUCUAUGUGUUAUAUAGGAAAUUAAGAAAAGGUUAUCCUGCGAAGCGGCAGCAGCUGCUAGCAGGAAUGGUAGAUGGAAGAAUCAAAUGCGAAGAGCUGCUCAUAAUGGUUGCUGCAGACGGGUUGCACAAAUACGAGCAUUAUCUUCUGUCCUUUGGAAAUUACUAAUAUCUGAAGAACUUGUUGAAGCCUUUUUGAGCAUUGAAAUCCCACUGGUGAGAAUUUUUCUUUAUGAGAGAAGGAUAAAGCUAGUUUAAUUUAAAUACAUUUUGCAUGGAGGAUGAUAGAUGUGUUUUAUAGAUUUUCCACAACUUUGAAUGUGCAUCCAACAACGAAAAUUGGAUGGAAAGUAAAUUGAAUUUGUGGUGGCUUUGGAAAUGUUAAUUUGGGAAACAGAUAAAUCUUCUGUUCAAGCAACCAGUGAUGAUAGAAAUGUUUCUAUAAAGAGACUUCUAUUCACACAAUGGCUAGGCCCUGGAUUCUCUCCACUGAAAUCAGCUGAUGAUUUUAUUUCGAUUAGUGGGAACCACCAUCAUCUAAUUCUGAAAGAGAAUAUUCAUUUUUCAAAAAAGAAACAUUUGCUGGAUUAGGCAGUGGAUUUUCUGAACUGACGUCUGUUGAUUAUUUGAUAUGUAUGAUUGCAAAUUCUUGAAAUUACGUACUAGAAGAAAUAUUUUUCAUUGCUUAGUAGAAUUGGCUUUCGCUGCUUUUCCUUUUCUGGCUUGUAUAUCUUUUAUGUCUGUGCUUUUCAGAAGGACAUGCUCUCUUGCUCGCUUCUAUGUACGUUCCUCAAUAUAAAUUUUUGUUAUCUUGUUUUGCAGGUCAAUGUUCUUGCAGAUAUGGAGCUUUGGGGCAUUGGCGUUGACAUGGAAGGAUGCCUUCGUGCACGGAAUAUCUUGGGAAAAAAAUUAAAAUAUCUUGAGAAAGAAGCUCACCAGUUGGCUGGGAUGUCAUUUUCAUUAUACAUGGCUGCAGAUAUUGCAAAUGUACUGUAUGAACACUUGAAGAUUCCUAUACCAGAAGGGCACAACAAAGGCAAAUAUCACCCUAGUACUGACAAGCGUUGUCUUGAUUUGCUGAGGUAUUAAAGGAGAUUUAGUGCUAAUUGCUUUUUAUUAUGGGACAACCUUUUUAUAUGCCAAUAAGCCUACUAAUUAUGAAAGUUCUAUGAACUUUAUGUUAAGCAACAUCUACAUAACUUGCUGGUCCAGCUGGCUGAACUGGAAAACUGGUGCAGCAAGCCUUGGCAAUCUUGUCUAUUGAAAUAUUUUAGCUUGCUUUUUGCUUCAAUAUGAUUGUCUUAAUUGUGAAGUAAACCACAAAUAAUGUAAACCAUUCAGUCCUGAAUGAAUCUUUACUAUCUGAUAGGAAUUAAUCAUUUCAUCAGGAAAAAAAUCAACCAUAAAUAUGAUCCUAUCAUUUGCGUAUAUCCACAUUUUCUGGAUGGCAUUUAGUUCUUAUAUUUUGACAAGUUUAUGAUAUUCACAUGAAUGUUUUUGAAAAAUAGCUAACCUGAUGGUUGGGCUGGUUAUUCAGCCAGAUCCAAUGACUGCAUUAUGGAGUUUGAUAUAAGCUAUUCUGCAUAUGUGUCCUCAUUUUGUUGGACAACAGUUUAAUAUAUAUGAAGAUAUGUUUCUUCAGCAAUUGUUUACUAGUUAUGUUCUCUACUUUGUUUUUACACCAGGAUGUACACAUUUAGGCCUUCAGGCAACAUUAACUUGUGAUUUCAUGGUGAAUAGCAUGCUUUUGAUUCUUCUUUCUUCAUGAUGUUUUUCUUUUUCAGUUUGCUCAUUAAGACAUCGUCUGCCUUCUUGUUUUGCUUUCUUGUUGCCAAGAACAAAUGAAUUUUUGACCUUACUGGUUCUUCAUUUUUUAUUCUUUCUAUUAUCUUAGUCUUGAAAAAAUUUUCAACUUAGUCAAUUUUGAUACUUGAAGUUAAGAAUCUCAUAUGCUCGAUGUACUUGCUUGUCAGGAAUGAGCAUCCUAUCAUUUCUGUUAUUAAAGAACACCGGACAUUUGCAAAGCUCUUGAAUUGUACAUUGGGAUCCAUUUGUUCCCUUUCUAAACUGUCUGCAAGGACACAAAGAUAUACACUCCACGGACAUUGGCUCCAAACUUCUACAGCAACUGGGAGGCUUUCAAUGGAGGAACCUAAUCUCCAGGUUUUAUCAUUUUUGCCAUACUUUCAAUGACUUUUCUUCUGUAUCGUUCUUCACUAACAUUUUAUGAUUGAUUUCUUUCUGGCUUUUGAUUUUAUAGUGUGUUGAACAUGGGGUUGACUUCAAGAUGAAUAGAAUUGAUCUAGAUGGAAAAGAGCUUGUCGAUGAAUACCACAAAGUCAAUGCUCGUGAAUUCUUUGUAGCUACUCAGGUAUUGAAGAUUAAGAUUUUGGUAUUAAAAAUGUAAUUAUUGGGGAAUUAUCAAUAGAUUUUCAUAUUGGUUUUCUUUUAAGUGUUUCAUAUAAUGAUUUCGCAGGAUGACUGGUAUCUUUUAACGGCAGAUUAUUCUCAGAUUGAAUUGCGAUUGAUGGCUCAUUUCUCUAAAGAUCCUUCGCUGGUUGAGCUACUUAAUAAGCGUGACAGUGAUGUUUUUAGUAUGAUCGCUGCAAAAUGGACUGGAAAAGUGGAGUCUAGUGUCAGCUCACAAGAGAGAGAUCAAACAAAGAGGCUAGUCUAUGGGAUGCUGUAUGGAAUGGGAGCUAAUAGCCUGGCAGAACAGUUGAACUGCACUUCAGAUGAAGCUGCAGAAAGAAUUUGCUGUUUUAAGACAUCUUUUCCUGGUGUUGCUACGUGGCUUCAGGAAGUGGUUACAUCUUGUCGCCAGAAAGGGUCUGUUCUGUUAAUAUGAGUGCAUUGUUAUGUUUACCCUGGAUUUUACUUCUCAGAGCUCGAUUAACUAUGUUUGAAUGUUGGUUUUAAAAAGCCUAAGCCAAUACAGUUAAUCCUUUUGGUCUGUCAUAUUCCAUCUCUGAACUGGUAUAAAAUGGUUCUUGGUGCUCUUUGCCCCUAAUAUGGUUGCUUACAUGUUACAUUUGAAUCUUAAAAAAAUGAGAUUUGAAUGCCAUAUUAUCUGUAUUCUAUAACAUGGCUGGGGGAAAAUCUAUUAGGUGGGAAAAAUUAGACCAAAAUUCACUUGGUGACCGUGGUGGGUGUUUGAUAGAAAUGGGGCUUUUAAGGUUCAAUUGAAAUGAGGAUUAAUUGGUUUGCUUCUAUUUAUGCAUGUUUAUGUUCAACCUCUGGAUGUUUCUCUUUCUAUGAAGGUGAACUAUAGUGUCGGUUACUAUUUGAGAUUCUUAUAAUUUUCUCAACUCAUACCGGGCUCUAGGAUUAGCUAUGUGCUUUUAUCAGGUUGUCUCCACUCUGUGGACAAUAUUCUGGAUUUAUCGUAAUCUGACUUCCUGUUCCAUUUAGAUACGUGAAGACUCUGAAGGGGCGAAAGCGUUUCUUGGCGAAGAUAAAAUUUGGAAACAGCAAAGAAAAAUCUAAAGCUCAUAGACAAGCUGUGAAUUCUAUAUGUCAGGUAGUAUCUUCAUGUUCCAUUUUUAUAUCUAUUUUUUUUGUGCUUUGUAUCUUUUUCUUUUGACUAAUUGUCAGACUAGUGGCUAGAAUCAUUUAGAUUAAACUGAUUUCGGUUCUUCAGGGUUCAGCUGCUGAUAUCAUUAAAAUUGCGAUGAUCAAUCUUCACUCUGUGGUUGCUGAAGAUGCUGACACGUCUUGCUCUAGUUGUGCGCUAGCUGAAAAAUUUCACAUGCUAAAAGGCCGCUGCAGAAUCCUUUUACAGGCAAGUAAUAGACUCUGUAUAUGACUAUACCUAUUAGGGUAACACACUAGUAUUCAUGUCUCUGAAAAUUGAUAACUGGUAUGUAUGGACCAUGGCUGUCAUGUCUUAAGACUUUGAGGACGAUAGACCAAGAUUUAUGUAAAAGUGUUAGCCUAAGCAGAUGCCUUCGACAAUCAUGUUUUUCAUUCUUUAAAUAGCUGUAAAAACAGGUAGCUAAAAAUCAUUCCCUGUGAUGAAGAUAACAGAUGAGAUUCAAUCAAGGAAAAGCUUCAUUUUACAUUUCGUGUUAGUGUAAAGAGGCAGCUGUAAACAGGUAACAGAAAAUCAUUCCCUGUGAUAAAGAGCAGAAAUGAGAUGCCAUCAAGAAAAAGCUUCAUUUUACAUUUCUUGUUAGUUGUGAGGGAAGCUAAGUUUUUGUAAACGAAUGUCGAGCUUUAAUAUAUUUUGCAAGCUUGUAUGAGUAUGUCUAAUGGAAGACAUGUUGAUCAAUUUCUCUUUUUCUUCAUGUCCUGGUGGCCAGUUAGAAUGUGAACUUUUCUUUCAUGUGCAGAUUCAAGUGAAUGCACUUGUAUUAAAGAUUAAAGUAUGUGAGUUAUUAUGCUUUUUAGAAAAAAUUAAUUGCAGUAAAUUGUUCAGAUCUCCUACUCUUCUUGUCAGAUGAUAAAUUCUUUUGCUAAUUGUAAGGCUGGCCUGAUUGGUGGGGGAGGAGAAAAUGCUUUAAGGAUCUCUUGGUUUAUAAUGAUUAGCUCACUGACUGACAACCAUAGCUAAAUUGCUGUAGUUUGGGAAGACAUAUAUGGCGAAAUCCUUGAAGGUGUAAAAUAGCCACUGAUUAAGCCAUAUGAAAGUUAUCACAUACUACAGGCAUGAUGCCACGAUCAUUUAGUCUUCUCUAUUUUAGCAUUGUUACAGUUGCAUAUAACAUUCCUGCUAGAAGUGAAACUUCAUUUAGUAUCCUUUCCUGUUAUAAUUCAUGUUUGGAAAUAGAUAAGGGACUCUUUUAUUCAUUAAAAAAAAAGUUUCCGCUUACCUUUUCCGGGUAACAACUUCAUAUCACUGUUAGUUAUGAAGAAGCUUUAUGGAUUGUUUAUUUCUUUCUGAAUAAGUACUUUAAUAGAUGCUUUAUUUAAAUUGCUAUUCAGGUACAUGAUGAAUUAGUGAUGGAAGCAGAUCCUUUAGUUGUAAAAGAAGCGGGAUUGUUGCUUCAAUUGAGCAUGGAAAGUGCUGCUUCACUUCUUGGUAAGGGGCUAACAAAAGGCGUAUGCAAUGCACAUGAAACCAUUGGUCUGAGUGCUUCCAAGGAAGUGAAAGAAAGCAUCUGUUUAUUAGGGGCUUAAUUAUGUAUCAUUUGUUUCUCAUCUUUCUCUCCCUUCUUCCCACCCUCCCUUCCUCACUCCCUCUCUGUCUGUCUGUCUGUCUGUCUCUCUCACUGUCCCUCCCUCCCUUUCUCUCUCUCUCCCCCCCCCCCCUCUCAAAGGAAAAAAAAUUACAUAUUUAUGUAGAUGUACAUAAUUCAUAGACACAAAAACACACACACAUGUUCUAAUUCAACCUGUCUCAUUCCUUUUGUUUAAAUGACCUUUCCCUUGUUACUGUUUCCUCCCUUUUGCCCUUUCUGGUUAUAUGUAAAAUAAAACUGAGUAGCCUUCUUCUGAAAAUUAAUAUGCUCAUACUGAUUUUCUUGUUGCUUUCUCAGUUCCCUUGCUUGUUAAAGUGAAGGUCGGAAAAACAUGGGGAUCUAUGGAGCCUUUCCAUCCUGAAUAAAAUAAAGACAGUUCUCCAAGAGUCUAACCCUUGACAACUCUGGGCUUUCUUUGUUCCCUUGAUUAAAGGGCAAUGUCAUCCUUAGAACAAGAUACAUGCCGUGUGCAAUAUAUAAACAUUCUGACACAUGUUAGCAAAUUGAUUGUUGUGAAAUUGCUGCUUCUCCUGAACUGGUGUUUCCAAUGGCCAUUUAUAAGCAGCGAUUAAAUAUCUUUGCCUGGCAGUGGAUUGCUUUCAAAAAGUUGACAUGCUCAAUUUGAUAAGUGUGUCUUCCACGAGUUUUCUGGCAGCUGACGGAGCACAUCUCAAGUUCGUUUCAGUUAGAUUUUAGUUGAUGAGUUUUGGAUGAAACAAUUGCUAAAAAUGGCCUCCUCUUUGUUCAGUCAACUUUAUUUCCUCUGUAAUCUCAGGACUCAUGAAGCUGUUUCAGAGAACAGAAGUCUGCUACUCAGACAUGAUCCAUUUUAUCAUCUAUUAAUGGUUGUUGGGCUGAUAAUAGUGCAGUUUAAGGAAGGGAAUUUGCGUUUUUCAUCCUGCAGACGGUCAAGAGUUGGAGAUGCUAUUCUUUUGAAGGAGCGGUUACUGAUGCAUAAUUCUCAUGACUGCAUGAUCCAAUUGAGGAAAAGCAUCUCUACAUUCUAAGGUUAGUCCGGAUUGAUCUAAACUAAAAUAUUUUAAGGUUAGUCCUGAUUGAACUAAAGCAUGCUAAAAUGAUUGAACAGACCAUUUAAUGUUGUAUUAAGAAACAUGUCUUUUUGUCUUGGCCUUGAGUGAAUGGUGUAUAGGCAUGUUCUAUCUGAAUUUUAAUUGUGGGAAGGUUCUCUUUCCCUUGCUGAUUGAAGCCAGCCCAAUGUUAAUUAACUUGAGCUGGACAAGUGCUAUCAAGAGUUUAUUGUUGUUCUUUUUAGUAUGAUAACAAGGCUCCGUUAGAGUUCUAUUCAAAAUUUGUUGUCGUGCUAAAGCAUUGGCUGGAGGGUUCUUAACUUUAUUGCCAAAUUAUUGAAAGCCAUUUGUUAAAGCUUUUAAGGAAUUAAGUGGUUUUUCUGUUGAAGAAUAUUGUUGCAUCUCAUAGAUGACUAAAAUGGAAGAUUCAGAAGAAAAUUCCAAGGAUGCUGUGGUGGCAGUAUGAAUGGAUAUUGCAUGGAAUGUCUUGCACAAAGUAAAGAUCUCGUAUAUGCAUUGUCAGAGCAAUAUCCCAACCACAAUCUCUAGCACAAUUGAACUUAAGAUGUUUAAGAUGAGAUGGAGUGGGUAUGCUGGAUUAGUUUCAUCGGUUGUUUCUUUGAGAUUCACAGGUAACAUUUGUCAAACUGAAGAAUAUUUUAGUUAUUACAUUGACAUGGCCUGAAGAUGAAGGCUCACAGUACAAUACUUCCUGCAUAUCAUGCUUAUUCAUCUAGGAUCAUCUUGGAGGAUCAGGUGGCCACUAUUUAAUUUUUCAUUUGUUGCUGUUUUUUGCACUCUCGUGGUUUCAAAAUGCAUUCUAAAAACACUUCUCACAUCGCAAGGACUUCUUUUAUUUAUUUUCUCUGUUCCAUCACCUCAUUUUUUUUCCUUCUUUCUGUAGUUCUUGAUUCUGUUCGUUAGAAAUCUAUUUUCAGUUGCCCUAGGUUGCUUUUGGGUUGGGCAUUUGUAUUUCAGGGAAAGAUGUGAGGAGUGGUUUUGAAAUCUUUGUUCUUGUUGUCUUGUCUUUAAAGAAAGACGCCUUACAGUGGUUUGUUAUUGGCUGACCCACCAUACCAGCUCCAUAAGUACUCGAAUGAAAUUACUUCAGAGGAGGACAUGAGAGCCGUACCUUACAUAAAGAAACUCACUCACUAUCUGACAUAUAUUCUAAGUAUAGAAUCUAAUACUCAGAUGUCUUUUAGUAUAGCUGGUCAGACUACAUCCUGAGUACAGAUAAUAGUUGUAAUUGAUUUCUUUCUUAGUAGACAUUUGAAUAAGAAAAUUUCUUAAUGAAAGUUAUCCACUCCAAGUUACUAAAGACUUGAAAGUAACUUGUCAAUGGCCAAUUUAUGAUGGAUAUUUGACCACCUUACUGGAACUGCUGAAGUCUUGAUGGUUUAUGAGGGAUGCGAAAUCCACAAUAAGGAGGCCAUUCAGACACUAGCAGUGGAUUUGUAGUUGUCUGAAACAUGCUACUCUGAAUCUUCUAUCUGAGGAAAACCAUCUAUGUUUGUUGAAGUGAUAUUAAACAGUCUUAUACUAAAUCCGUCAAUUAUUUUUGUUUACAGUUACGUGGUAGGCAUUUAACUUCAUCCUCUACUCUGUUGCCAUCUCUAAUCUAUACUGAGAAUUGGAUUUUGUCAAUUAUUUUGCUCAUAACUGAUGCUAAAAGACCUUUAGUGCAAUUUUAUUCCUGUGCAGGGGAAGAUUAUUUGAUUUGUAAUUAUAGUAAAAAAUGAUUUUUUAAUCUGCAUUGUGCUACUGAUAAGCACUUGAAGGAUUUGUUCACUCUGAAAUCCAAUCAAAGGAAGAGAAGUCUAAACUUUUGAGUAACUAAGAGGGAUAUGUUUAUUAGUGGAACUACAACCAGUGUAUUAUUGUUUUACAAUAGAACCAAAUGGGCAAGCAUUUGGAGUUUCCUGCACAUAUUUAUUUAGGUACCCAGACAACAUGAUCCUCGGGAAGGAAAUGGCAAACAGGAACUUGUCCUGGCUUGAUCUGCAGAACUUUGAAAGCCAAGUGUUUUGGGUUCCAUUUUGUUGUAUCUUCAUGGCAUACUGCCACUGCUUUAACUUUUGUUCCAUCUGCACCCACCAAGGAAAGUGUAUAUGCUCUAGUAGCUUGUGUUUUGUGGCAGUAAAAUACAGCAUAUGCAUAAUUUUGCUGGUGGCACACUACAGCUUUGUCAUUUGUCAUGUUUUUCACUCCUGCAAUGGUAUAUUUCUGCAGUGGAGUAUCUUUCUCUGAAUUUGUUGAUAUCGCCUGAACGUUCUUCCCCAGUUUGGAGGUGGUGAAAUCUACCAUUGCUUCCAAUGAUGUUGCACAGAACUUCUCCUCUCCCUGGAUGCCUGGCUCCUCGCACUCUUUUAUUGUAUUUUUCAUAACUUCAGCUUCCUGUGAGUUGGGCUUCACUGAGAAUUUGUUCAAGAUUUCAGUCAUUUUGUUUGAUGAGAAAGGAAUUGAUUCAGCAACCUGGCGAGGUAAGAAAGUGGCUCCAUGUGAAGUCUUGAAGAAAUGCAAGUUCAUCUUUGAUCCUCGAGUCAUGUUAUUUUCCAAGAAGAAAAGAGCUACAUUUGGGUUGUCAUGGAGCUGAUCCCUGGUUGCUGCGUAGUUAUACAAGAAUGGUGAUGUCCCUGGCCUUCCUCCCACAUAUACUGGUUUCCCCCUGUGGUGGCCUGAGGAUACGGUUACACCUCCACCAUGCCCGACAUUCACAUUGGUGCCUUCAGGAUUUCUGCCCUGUGUCUCGGAACCUCCUGGAUCCCCCGGUCCAACAUUCACGUUGGUGCCUCCUGGUGUAUUAACACCUACUCCACCAGGCCCGACGUUUACAUUGGUGCCUCCUGGUGUAUUUACAUCUACGCCACCGUGCCCAGCAUUCACGUUGGUGCCUCCUGGAUUUCCACCCUGAGUAUUAACAUCUACUCCACCACCACUUACUCCGACUGAAGUACUUUUAUCAUCCACCGUUUCUGCCAUAACAAUCAGUUAGCAUGAACACACGGAUGAAUAUACUAUUCAUACCACCUUAUAAGUAAUUUAAUGUCUUAUUCUUUCUUUCUUUAGAUAGGAUUAGUUUUCCUUGUGUAAGAAUUGUUAAAAAUCUACUUAAUCCUUUUCAUGUACCGGAUUUGCCAAUUUUUUGCUAAAAAAAAGGUAAUUUAAUGUCUUAUGCUCUGUAGUAGUAUUUAUUCUAGAGUUUGCUGACUCGUUCCCUUUUAACCUUUGUAUCACUGUUUAUUGCCUAAGCCUAAUUUGUGGUUUCUCGAGAACAUUACUGGCAUGUAGAAACAUGAAAUGCAUAGAGACAAAAAAGCAUUUUGUUUUUGAAUAACAACAGUGAAAGAACAGCUUUUAGGUUUGAGUCUGACCAGAUUGUAUAAGAUCCUCGAUAGCUUUCGGCAUAGGACUGUUAGGGAGCACAGAUUUCCAAUAUGUCUCAGCAGGUUGUGCUGCGUGGCUUGACACACAAGCUAGCUGAAACACACAGACGAACAAGUGAACAUUUUAUUGGAAAAGGCGUAAAAGAGAAUACAUUUUAUUGGCAAAAGCGUAAAUAAUUGAUACAAUGUUGUACUCACAGCAACAAAGAUGAAGAGAUGUAGGGGUCGAAACUCCAUUUUGUAAGAGACUGGCCGCCAAGGGAAGUGUAAACAGAAGUGAAAUUUUAUGAUAGAUGUGAAAAAUGAAACCACAACUUUCUUGAAGAUAAAAGGCAACAACUAUAGUGCUAUUUAUAGCCGAAUGUGGGUUCAGGGUAAAAUGUCAGCAGAUAAGCAACAGAUCAUCUCUACUGAUGACUUGUGCUCUAAUCACUUCCAACUGUGGCUUAAACGCAUUAAUGCCAAUUGAGCCAAAUGUAUCAGUGAGUUACAUGUGUGAAGUUCUGCGCGUUUGUGUGUGAGAUACAGAUGCCUGUUUCCUAAUUGCAUACGCAAACGAUAAUCCUGUCUGGUCUGAUCUGAUAAUGGUCAAUCCUUACUUGAUCAAUGCUAUCAGACAAAGGGUUUCAGCUGGAAGUUGAGAGCUCAAGUUUUAAGCCUUGCGCUUAUGGCAAUCUGGCGUCAUCUUUAUCGAUUAGUUUUCUGGCCAUCCCAACUCUCUCAUUGGUUUCUUUUUCUAGCCGUCCUCCCUCUUUUUCCGACCCUCUCUUUCUCUCAAACUCUUUCUUAUUUCUUCUCUCCAACCGCCACCCAAAGCUCUCCUCUUUCCUGGUUUUCUAUCAACCCAGCUGUCAUCUAUUCUUUUCGUUUCUUUCUCUUGCCGUCCCCAAAACCUCUCUCUAUCUCUCAAAACCUAGCUAUCAUUCUAGAUUCAUCCCCCCCUCCAGGUGUCCUAGACACCUGGCCUUUUACAGCUCCAAAUUUCAUCUCCAGGACCUCUUCCAAUCUCAUUUGCAAGUUGCGGCAAAAAACGCAGUUUUCUGCAUUGCCGUGACUCUUUUUUUUUUUUUUGAAAAGUAAGAAAUAAUUUUAACUAAAAUAAAUAAAAAUACUAAAAAAAAUGCCCAAAACAUAUUUUUGUGAACAAAUUCUUUUCUUACAAAUUUUAUGCUAAAAUUCUUAUAAAUAAAAAUAAACAACUAAAAAACAAAAACAAAAUAAAACUAAAAAAUGAAAUAAAAGACAAAAAUAAAUUAAGAUGCUAUAAAAAUACUAGAAAAUGCCCAAAACAAAAAUUAUGAAACUAAUAUAUAUGAUUAUCACUAAAAUAAAAUAAAAAUAAAAAAAAUAAAAAUUAAAUAAAAGUAAAAUAAAAUCGUUCAAAAUUUUGGUGUCUACACCCUCCACUCGCAGCAUCAAUGAUAUUCCUGUAUCUGAAGAUUAGUCCCUCGUAAAAAUAUUGUAUGAGCAACUGCUCACUUAUUUGGUACUGAGAGCACUUGAUGCACAACUUCUUGAAUCGCUCCCAGUAGUCGUAGAGUGACUCCUGGAUGCUGUUUGAUACCACAGAUCUCCUUUUUAGACUUAGUUGACAUGCUCAAUUUGAUAAGUGUGUCUUCCACGAGUUUUCUGGCAGCUGACGGAGCACAUCUCAAGUUCGUUUCAGUUAGAUUUUAGUUGAUGAGUUUUGGAUGAAACAAUUGCUAAAAAAGGCCUCCUCUUUGUUCAGUUAACUUUAUUUCCUCUGUAAUCUCAGGACUCAUGAAGCUGUUUCAGAGAACACAAGUCUGCUACUCACACAUGAUCCAUUUUAUCAUCUAUUAAUGGUUGUUGGGCUGAUAAUAGUGCAGUUUAAGGAAGGGAAUUUGCGUUUUUCAUCCUGCAGACGGUCAAGAGUUGGAGAUGCUAUUCUUUUGAAGGAGCGGUUACUGAUGCAUAAUUCUCAUGACUGCAUGAUCCAAUUGAGGAAAAGCAUCUCUACAUUCUAAGGUUAGUCCGGAUUGAUCUAAACUAAAAUAUUUUAAGGUUAGUCCUGAUUGAACUAAAGCAUGCUAAAAUGAUUGAACAGACCAUUUAAUGUUGUAUUAAGAAACAUGUCUUUUUGUCUUGGCCUUGAGUGAAUGGUGUAUAGGCAUGUUCUAUCUGAAUUUUAAUUGUGGGAAGGUUCUCUUUCCCUUGCUGAUUGAAGCCAGCCCAAUGUUAAUUAACUUGAGCUGGACAAGUGCUAUCAAGAGUUUAUUGUUGUUCUUUUUAGUAUGAUAACAAGGCUCCGUUAGAGUUCUAUUCAAAAUUUGUUGUCGUGCUAAAGCAUUGGCUGGAGGGUUCUUAACUUUAUUGCCAAAUUAUUGAAAGCCAUUUGUUAAAGCUUUUAAGGAAUUAAGUGGUUUUUCUGUUGAAGAAUAUUGUUGCAUCUCAUAGAUGACUAAAAUGGAAGAUUCAGAAGAAAAUUCCAAGGAUGCUGUGGUGGCAGUAUGAAUGGAUAUUGCAUGGAAUGUCUUGCACAAAGUAAAGAUCUCGUAUAUGCAUUGUCAGAGCAAUAUCCCAACCACAAUCUCUAGCACAAUUGAACUUAAGAUGUUUAAGAUGAGAUGGAGUGGGUAUGCUGGAUUAGUUUCAUCGGUUGUUUCUUUGAGAUUCACAGGUAACAUUUGUCAAACUGAAGAAUAUUUUAGUUAUUACAUUGACAUGGCCUGAAGAUGAAGGCUCACAGUACAAUACUUCCUGCAUAUCAUGCUUAUUCAUCUAGGAUCAUCUUGGAGGAUCAGGUGGCCACUAUUUAAUUUUUCAUUUGUUGCUGUUUUUUGCACUCUCGUGGUUUCAAAAUGCAUUCUAAAAACACUUCUCACAUCGCAAGGACUUCUUUUAUUUAUUUUCUCUGUUCCAUCACCUCAUUUUUUUUCCUUCUUUCUGUAGUUCUUGAUUCUGUUCGUUAGAAAUCUAUUUUCAGUUGCCCUAGGUUGCUUUUGGGUUGGGCAUUUGUAUUUCAGGGAAAGAUGUGAGGAGUGGUUUUGAAAUCUUUGUUCUUGUUGUCUUGUCUUUAAAGAAAGACGCCUUACAGUGGUUUGUUAUUGGCUGACCCACCAUACCAGCUCCAUAAGUACUCGAAUGAAAUUACUUCAGAGGAGGACAUGAGAGCCGUACCUUACAUAAAGAAACUCACUCACUAUCUGACAUAUAUUCUAAGUAUAGAAUCUAAUACUCAGAUGUCUUUUAGUAUAGCUGGUCAGACUACAUCCUGAGUACAGAUAAUAGUUGUAAUUGAUUUCUUUCUUAGUAGACAUUUGAAUAAGAAAAUUUCUUAAUGAAAGUUAUCCACUCCAAGUUACUAAAGACUUGAAAGUAACUUGUCAAUGGCCAAUUUAUGAUGGAUAUUUGACCACCUUACUGGAACUGCUGAAGUCUUGAUGGUUUAUGAGGGAUGCGAAAUCCACAAUAAGGAGGCCAUUCAGACACUAGCAGUGGAUUUGUAGUUGUCUGAAACAUGCUACUCUGAAUCUUCUAUCUGAGGAAAACCAUCUAUGUUUGUUGAAGUGAUAUUAAACAGUCUUAUACUAAAUCCGUCAAUUAUUUUUGUUUACAGUUACGUGGUAGGCAUUUAACUUCAUCCUCUACUCUGUUGCCAUCUCUAAUCUAUACUGAGAAUUGGAUUUUGUCAAUUAUUUUGCUCAUAACUGAUGCUAAAAGACCUUUAGUGCAAUUUUAUUCCUGUGCAGGGGAAGAUUAUUUGAUUUGUAAUUAUAGUAAAAAAUGAUUUUUUAAUCUGCAUUGUGCUACUGAUAAGCACUUGAAGGAUUUGUUCACUCUGAAAUCCAAUCAAAGGAAGAGAAGUCUAAACUUUUGAGUAACUAAGAGGGAUAUGUUUAUUAGUGGAACUACAACCAGUGUAUUAUUGUUUUACAAUAGAACCAAAUGGGCAAGCAUUUGGAGUUUCCUGCACAUAUUUAUUUAGGUACCCAGACAACAUGAUCCUCGGGAAGGAAAUGGCAAACAGGAACUUGUCCUGGCUUGAUCUGCAGAACUUUGAAAGCCAAGUGUUUUGGGUUCCAUUUUGUUGUAUCUUCAUGGCAUACUGCCACUGCUUUAACUUUUGUUCCAUCUGCACCCACCAAGGAAAGUGUAUAUGCUCUAGUAGCUUGUGUUUUGUGGCAGUAAAAUACAGCAUAUGCAUAAUUUUGCUGGUGGCACACUACAGCUUUGUCAUUUGUCAUGUUUUUCACUCCUGCAAUGGUAUAUUUCUGCAGUGGAGUAUCUUUCUCUGAAUUUGUUGAUAUCGCCUGAACGUUCUUCCCCAGUUUGGAGGUGGUGAAAUCUACCAUUGCUUCCAAUGAUGUUGCACAGAACUUCUCCUCUCCCUGGAUGCCUGGCUCCUCGCACUCUUUUAUUGUAUUUUUCAUAACUUCAGCUUCCUGUGAGUUGGGCUUCACUGAGAAUUUGUUCAAGAUUUCAGUCAUUUUGUUUGAUGAGAAAGGAAUUGAUUCAGCAACCUGGCGAGGUAAGAAAGUGGCUCCAUGUGAAGUCUUGAAGAAAUGCAAGUUCAUCUUUGAUCCUCGAGUCAUGUUAUUUUCCAAGAAGAAAAGAGCUACAUUUGGGUUGUCAUGGAGCUGAUCCCUGGUUGCUGCGUAGUUAUACAAGAAUGGUGAUGUCCCUGGCCUUCCUCCCACAUAUACUGGUUUCCCCCUGUGGUGGCCUGAGGAUACGGUUACACCUCCACCAUGCCCGACAUUCACAUUGGUGCCUUCAGGAUUUCUGCCCUGUGUCUCGGAACCUCCUGGAUCCCCCGGUCCAACAUUCACGUUGGUGCCUCCUGGUGUAUUAACACCUACUCCACCAGGCCCGACGUUUACAUUGGUGCCUCCUGGUGUAUUUACAUCUACGCCACCGUGCCCAGCAUUCACGUUGGUGCCUCCUGGAUUUCCACCCUGAGUAUUAACAUCUACUCCACCACCACUUACUCCGACUGAAGUACUUUUAUCAUCCACCGUUUCUGCCAUAACAAUCAGUUAGCAUGAACACACGGAUGAAUAUACUAUUCAUACCACCUUAUAAGUAAUUUAAUGUCUUAUUCUUUCUUUCUUUAGAUAGGAUUAGUUUUCCUUGUGUAAGAAUUGUUAAAAAUCUACUUAAUCCUUUUCAUGUACCGGAUUUGCCAAUUUUUUGCUAAAAAAAAGGUAAUUUAAUGUCUUAUGCUCUGUAGUAGUAUUUAUUCUAGAGUUUGCUGACUCGUUCCCUUUUAACCUUUGUAUCACUGUUUAUUGCCUAAGCCUAAUUUGUGGUUUCUCGAGAACAUUACUGGCAUGUAGAAACAUGAAAUGCAUAGAGACAAAAAAGCAUUUUGUUUUUGAAUAACAACAGUGAAAGAACAGCUUUUAGGUUUGAGUCUGACCAGAUUGUAUAAGAUCCUCGAUAGCUUUCGGCAUAGGACUGUUAGGGAGCACAGAUUUCCAAUAUGUCUCAGCAGGUUGUGCUGCGUGGCUUGACACACAAGCUAGCUGAAACACACAGACGAACAAGUGAACAUUUUAUUGGAAAAGGCGUAAAAGAGAAUACAUUUUAUUGGCAAAAGCGUAAAUAAUUGAUACAAUGUUGUACUCACAGCAACAAAGAUGAAGAGAUGUAGGGGUCGAAACUCCAUUUUGUAAGAGACUGGCCGCCAAGGGAAGUGUAAACAGAAGUGAAAUUUUAUGAUAGAUGUGAAAAAUGAAACCACAACUUUCUUGAAGAUAAAAGGCAACAACUAUAGUGCUAUUUAUAGCCGAAUGUGGGUUCAGGGUAAAAUGUCAGCAGAUAAGCAACAGAUCAUCUCUACUGAUGACUUGUGCUCUAAUCACUUCCAACUGUGGCUUAAACGCAUUAAUGCCAAUUGAGCCAAAUGUAUCAGUGAGUUACAUGUGUGAAGUUCUGCGCGUUUGUGUGUGAGAUACAGAUGCCUGUUUCCUAAUUGCAUACGCAAACGAUAAUCCUGUCUGGUCUGAUCUGAUAAUGGUCAAUCCUUACUUGAUCAAUGCUAUCAGACAAAGGGUUUCAGCUGGAAGUUGAGAGCUCAAGUUUUAAGCCUUGCGCUUAUGGCAAUCUGGCGUCAUCUUUAUCGAUUAGUUAGUAGUUUUUUUUUCAAGUUUUUGACGUAUGGCUUCAAUCCUGCUCUUAAUGUGGCUGACAAACUUGAAGUAUAUCCAAAGUGAUUUGCUAGUUUUACUAAGCUUAGCUACAGGAUUUGGAUGAUCAUCUUUCAGUCACAGAAGAAUGUCAAAAAAAUCACAUAAACGUAUUAUGCAUACCUAUUAACUACUAUUUUUAUACACAGAAAGCCAUUAACUAUUUUCAUACUUUUCUUGCUUGCAAGUUUGAAAGGAAACUGUUUGGCGUUGUGAAAUUAUGGUGCAUAUCCAAUCCCGGUUUUCUUGUUAUGGUAUAACUUUUUUAUUUUAGCAUAAAUUCAAGAUAGAUCCAAUUAUAUAACCGUAUUUGUCAUGAACAUUUACGUUUUCGCUUUUUAUUACUCAUCGUUUUAGUAGAUAAUAAGUAAGGAAUGAAUCCGGUAUUAUUUUUUCUAACACCAAAUAGAAAAUUGUUCUUUUAAAACCGAACAUUUUACUUUCCCCAACUUCGGACAACACAUUUUGUGAGCUGUUUAAUCAAAAAAAUUGUUUCUCUCGAGUAGACAAAAAAAAAAAAAAAGAAAGAAAAAACACAAAGUCCUUUAAUGCAGUAUAUGUUCUGAUUUUUUUGACACAUUUUGCCGACUUUCAUUAUUGUAAUAACAUGCUGCAAUAAAUGUGUCACUCAAAUUCAAACAGUUUGUUGGUAGCUGGGGUGGUUGUUAUCUCUUAUACCUUCAAACCUCCUGCCUGUAUUCAAUACUGCCUAGUACUUUCUUAAGCACUGCAAUUUGUUCUUUUACUAUUACUAUUAAAAUUUCAGUAAUGCAGAAACUCUAGAAUGUAUUUGUUACACUUAUCCGUACAUGUAAUGAACACAUUCUACACCCCUUAGAUUUUUUGAAGGUAAAAUCUUGUUUAUAAUUCAAUUUUUUGUAAUAAUAAAAUGACAUCUUAGAAAAAAAAAAUAAUAGAACGACAUUUUUUUUAUCUUUGUCCUUUGAUUUUGAAAUAUUCUGUGGAUAGUGGAGAUUUUUUGUCUUAUUUAACUAAUUUUUAUCUUUCGAUUAGCUUUGACCAUUAGUGUAAGUGGCAAAUUAAGUUGUUUUGGGACCAAAUGUUAAAAGGGAUUUACGCUCAUUUACCAUUGACUAAAUACUUCCUCAAACUAAACUUUUCAUCUUCUUGCAUUAGAAGGCAAUGAAAUUUGAGUGGAAAAAUUCCUUCCCCUUGUAUUUUCUUAACCGAGAUCAAGUUGAGAUAGGCAAAUUAACCAUAGAUUGUUAAGAAAAUUUUUUUUUUAUUCUGUACGUAGUCCAUAUAUUAAAAACUAGAAGAAACUUCUGCAAAAGGACUCCACGUAACUAAAAUUACUAAAGAGACUAAUAUGCGAUAAUAUGAUAGGUGUCUGGUUCACAUCUGGUGUCUACUCUGGAAACCAUAUUUCAUACAGAUAAUUUUAAGGACAAAGCUGCAGAAGUACACAAGUAUUUCAGGUUUUAGCACUCAUCUUAUCUAUAUGAUCAGAACUUCGAACCCCAAGCUGAAGCUACCAUGGAACGGAACAUAAAUUAAAGACAACUCGAAAUGGAUAAGACUAAAGUAAAGGAGGGAUCUCAAGGAUUUUCUUCACAAAUUCAGUUCUUGGGAACCCAAACAACAUGGUCCUCAGGAAGGAAAUGGCAUAUUGGAACGGUUCCUGGCUUCACCUUUAGCACCUGGAAAGCCAAAUGCUUUGGGUUCCAUUUUGCUGUAUCUUCGUGGCAAACAGCCACAGCUUUAGCUUUCUUUCCAUCCGCUCCAACCAAAGUAACCUCAUAUGCUUCGGUGGCCUGCGUGGAAUGGCAGUAAAAAACUGCGUAGGCAUAGUUUUGCUUGUGGCAAACCACAGCCUUAUUAUUGUUUAACUUCUUGACACCCACAAUACCAUAUUUCUGGGCUUUGGUGUCCUCUUCUGCUUCUGUGGAAACCGCCUGAACAUUAUUUCCUAACUUGGACGUGCUGAAAUCGACCAUGGACUCGAGGGAAGUUGCACAGUAUUUGUCCUCCCCUUUGAUUCCGGGCUCCUCGCACUCCUUUAUCGUAUUCUUAAUAGUCUCAGCUUCGACAGAUUCCGGCUUCACUGAGAAUUUGUCGAAAAUUUCGGGUAUGUAUUUGGAUGAGAAAGGUACGGAAUCAGCAACCUUGCGAGGCAAGAAAGUUGCGGGAUUUGAUGAUUUGACGAACUGCAAAUUCAUGCUUGUCCCGCGGUGCAGAUCCUUUUUCAAGAAGAAAAGGGCUACAUUUGGAUUAUCAUGGAGUUGAUCCUCGGUGGCUGCAUACACGUAGAUGAAUGGGUUGCGACCUGGUGUUACUCCAACAUAUACUGGAUGACCCUUGUGGCCGGUGUGGACGGUAACGCCUCCCUUUCCGACGCCGACGUUGGUUUGGGGCUUUCCGGCGGUUACUCCGACGCCUCUGUGACCAACACCAACAUUGGUGCCGCUGCCAGCGGGCUUUCCUUUCCCAGUAUUGACGUUUACUCCUCCCUUUCCUACUGCAACUGAAGCGCUCUUGUCUUCCAACCAUUCUGGGAAAAUAUCACUUAAUCUUCAUACAUAGCAAGGUCAUUGAAACUAAAACCUCAUUUUAUAAUUCCAUAUACCAAUUCUUUUGCAUAGAAAGGCAUAAUAUUCUCAGUUAUAAUAGAUGGAUUGAGGCUAGUGAGGAUUAAUCAAAAAGUUUUAGAAUAGAGGGUACAAAGGAGAAGAUAUAGCUAAUUAGUAAUCGGAAGGUUGUAAUCGGAAGUAUCUUUUAGUGAUCUUUUAAGUCACAGUACAAAGUAGAAUGGUGCAAUUGAUACACUUACUAUAUUUGCGAAAGAAGAUUGAUUUCACUUUCUAGCUUUAAAUUCUCUACUAGAAAAUUUUUUGUUGGAAUUCAGUUUCCAUCUUUCACUCACAAUUUUUCCACAUAGUAAACUGGUGACAAAACAUCAUUUUGUUGACAAGAGCAAUUGCAACUCUGAGCAGCAUGUGUACUUAUUCAAAUAUUAAAAAAAAAAAAAAGAAGGAAGAGGAAUAGUAACAGAAGAAAUUCCUUGUAUCUAACAUUAUUUAAAACUAGAAAAUGCACAGCUAACCACUCAAGCACUUAAUAUAGGGGUCACCAUCAACUAUUUCUGGUUAAUGUUUUAUUUUAUUUUUUAUGUAUAAGUCACCAUCUACUAUUUAAUUCAGAGAGGACACCAUCAGCUAUUAUUUGAAGUGGUUGCUGGCUACUAAAUUACACAAUUGAUGAGCAGUACCUGGAGAAUUUCUGUAUAUGAAAAUUCACUUUCAGAGGUAAAACCACUCUAUUGCACUUAUGUUGGUGAUUAAUCUUGGAAAGAAAUUAGAAAGAAAGAAACUAAAAUGGCAGAGAGAGAGAGAGAGAGAGAGAGAGAGAAUCCGUUUUCAUCUUUGUCAAAGAUGACAAAUUCAUUUCUAGUUUUGUGAAAAGCAUUUGUAGUGAAGCUCCAAAAGUUCUAAAAUUGUAUAUCUAAGCGUUUAAGCUUUUGAACUUAGUGAGUGCCAUUUAAAUUAUUGCCAUGCUUCGACUAUAAAUAUACUAUUCAAAUUGUAUCAAGUCAAAAUGAUGUUUUUGGAGUAUAAAAAUCGUUGGCAUACUACCACCCACUAAUCAUAAUGCAUAUAUAUCCUUCAUACAAGCACAAGAAACGAAAAUUGACCCAAGGAAGACGAACCACUGUGUAGAAUGUCCCUUACUGCCUUUGGCAUAGGAGUGUUUGGCAGCUUGGAUUUCCAAUAAAUAUCAAGAUCUGCAUGGCUUGCUACAACUGCCAGCUGACAUAAAUUAUAGUACAAAGAAAAAUGAUCAGAAAAGUAACAGGGAUUCCCAGAGAAGUUAAUUAGCAAACAUUCAAUAUUGUUCAUGGAAAAAGAGAAGUUUCUACUCACGGAAAGAAAUGUACAAAUGUGGAGGAGCUUGAGCAAUUCCAUGACAGUUUGGACAAAAACAAAACACAGGGCAGAGUGGUUGGAACUGAGACGGACUUUUAAGUGGUACUGAAGGGCAAGAUGUACAACACAGAGUAAAUUGGCAUCAUUAUUUAUAAGCGAACAUUAUGAAAAAUUAGGUGCUUGAGAAAAGCAACGUAUCACCUAAAUUGAUGACUAGUUUAAUUGCUUCAACUGUCUUAGGCUUUUGGCCAUUCAAUGCUAUGAAGCCACAUGUGAAUGUGGGGUACAAAUUAAACACGGAUGGACGAUAUUCGUACAAAUUUGCCAGAAAGUUGUCAGUCAUAUAAUCUAGUUCCGUUCUCAAGGGUUAGAGCCUUAAAGGGGGACAAGAAAUGACUAUAUGGCAUGUCUAGCGUCUUCCCCCUGCUCAUCACUGAACCAAGGGAUGAUAGAAUGGGACGGCCCUUAUUGUGUUGGACUUUUGAAUCGUCCAGCUAAUAACAAUCAACCACCAAAUUUAAUAAGGCUAAUACUUAACCCUACUAAUUUGAACUCUGCAUGCAUGCUGCGCCACGUAAAUUUUUGUACCAUACGUAUCUUCUGAUUGGAAAUUGGUAUGUUAGGGACUUUGGCUAGAAGCCCGGAAGCCUGGUCCAUGCAUAUAUCGAUUAGUCCAUUUCAUGGGACUCAUUUUGAUAUCUAUGGCACAAUAGACGUCUCAAAGUUUUCAGACGCAUUGGCUACCUGGUUUUUAUUGUCAGUUUUUGGAAAUGUUCUCUUAUUAUGAAUUUGAAAUACAUCUUUAUUUUUCCAACAAUCUUUUUACAUCAAAUACUUCUCAUCACAAACGUAGUACAGAUAAUAUUGCUUUUUAGGAACACUACUAAGAAAUACAACCCAAGUGCAAAGGAUGCAGGACUUUUCUUGUUCUGGAAAACUCCUACUACUUGGCAUAAUUUCAGUUUACUACCUAGAACCUGUUGUUGCAUCUUUGUCUUUCAUUUGGACAUACUAUCUUUUAAUAUUUCCAAAUAUCAUCCUUUUUGCUCAAUUCUCAAGAACAAUAUUUGCACACGAUGCUCUCGACUGAUAGAUACUUCCAUCAUCAUUGAUUGAAGAUCGCAUGGUGGAGUUAUGCUAAUUCAGUUGGCAUUGAAUCAGCAAAGAUAUAUAUACAUUUUUUAGGGGUACAAAUUAAGAGAUAACCAUACAAUUACGACAAACUGUCCCACAAACUUGGGGGAGGUUCCCAAUCACCACUGACCCUAUUGGUCAAGUGGUAAGACCACGAGCCAUAUUGGCCAGUUGCUGAGAACUCAGAAGUUGGAACCAAGCCGUACCAAAAAAAAAAAAAAAGAAGAAAAGAAGUUGGAACCAAUGGGGCAUGGGGAAGUGCAUUCGAGCCUUUAAAGCCACUUCCUGGCCAACUCGCCACCAAUAUUCAAUAAACAUGUGAAAACUCAUUUUCGCAGUUACUUUAAGGAUGGCAAACUAAUAAUAAUCUGACUUAGUUUGUUGAUAAAUACUAAGUAGUAGUAUAAAGACAAAAACAAUUAGUGUAAAGACAGUAGGUCCAAAACAUACGUAAAUUCGAUUAGACCAAGUUUAACCGUCCAGAUUAAAUUAUGUUUUCCACCAAUAUGAUUUAGCAUGUAUUUUAC
rnacentral:lncRNA from 1 species